CCUCUCAUAGGAUGGGUAUUGGAGGUUAAGUUGUCUUGGAUUUGCCAUCAGGGCAUAGGAAAGAAGGUGAGGAAAAAGUUGCGGCGUCUUCUCUGGUGUGCUACGAUUUACUUCAUUUGGCAUGAGCGUAAUCAUCGUCUUCAUGGAGGUCAAGUUCGUGAGGCUAUGAUUAUUUUCCAGCUCAUUCGAUUGUGCAUUCGGGCUCGUGCUGCUUCUUGAUCGGAAGAUGUUCAUGGUUUUAUUUAGUGUGCUUUUAUUUUCUGCUUGUCCCCGAGCUGUGGGGUUUUAUUUGUCAUUGUUAUUUCUUUGGUUUAGCUUAUUUUUCUUCUCUUAUUCCGUUUGAUCUGGAUAGUGUCGUUUUCUAGACUUCUAAUUUUUAUUUUGUCUGCGAUGAUAUUUCAUAUUCUUAAUUGGUUUUUUGUUUUUGUGCUUGUCCCCGGGCCGUGGGAUUUUAUCGUUAUCUUUAGGAUGUCGUUUGGUUUUUACUUAUCUUCUCAGUGUGAGCAUUUUCCGCUUUUGUGCCUUGACCUCAGACUAUGAGGUCCUCCUUGUGGUUCUAUAAUAUUAUCAUUACCUUUUCAAAAAAAAAAAAAAAAAAAAACUAACGAAAAGAACCAAGCAAUUGAAAUAGAAAAGUAGGAAAUGAAAUAUUGCAAGCAUAUAAAGCACAUAUCAAUAACAGAAUACCGAACGAGCGACUGUCGAUCAGGUUGAAUUUGUGUGUCAUGUAACUCAUUCGACUAAAGGUCAUUCUUCAACACCUUCCUUUUUCGAUCAUGUUUUGGACUUGUAUUAUACAUCUUGAGUUGCCACACCAUGGCGACACUACGCCCAUUCUUACUUUUCUCAUUGUUUCGGUUGACAUCCAAAUAAUGUUUUAGUUUUCAGACACAUUUACCUUCUUUUUCUUUUUCUUCGCCAUCUUCAAUUUAAAUUAAUGUUAGCUCAUUUAAAUGAAAUAAACUCAAAAAGAAAAAAAAUCAACAAGAAUAAAGAUGAAUUUGGACGAGUGGACAAGUAACUUUAGCUUUAAGCAUCAAAAUACCAACCUCUUUUCAGAAAGUAAAUAUGUGCUUUUUUCUUUCUUUUUAUUCAUUGUUUUUCUACAUUUUGAUAGAAUAAUCGAACAUUUGUUAGAGAAGAAAUCAAGAAAUAAGACGUUACGUUUCUUCUCUUUCUAAUGCGUACGUGAAGUGAACAAACCAACCAAAACAAAAUAAAACAAUCGACACCUGAUUUGGAAAUUAAGCGAGACUACCACAGCUAAAAAGGGUUAUGAGUCAACAACGAAGGAAAGUGUGGAACUUCGAGUAGACUACAAGUCAUAAUCUAUCUGGGGUUUCGAAAAGGGGUUUUAGAAGAAGAUGAUUGAAUAUUUGCGAGGAACAAGGGUCGUUUCAAUUUGGACGAAGAAAUUCUAAGGUUGGGAGAAAAAAGAUUUUUGCAUCGAAGAUAGUGUCAAAUUUGGAGUUUAAAUAGAAAGUAAUAACAAGUUAGGGUGAACUUCACGUGCGUCCUCUGCCACCGGUGAAACGAACUCGCCAGUACUACUGGCGUUUGUCUCUCUAAAUAACUCGACACAGUUCACUAGGCUAUUGCGUGUUAUUGUGAGCUCAACUUGUCGUUGAAGGAACGACUUAGAAUCGAUCUUGUGGUUGUAAAGCCGUUUCGCUCUAGCAGCCUUAAAAGCACUUGAUUGCUCCUUCAAUCAGACAAAGUGUAAUUAAAAUGUUAUAUCCAAACAAAAAUUAAAUGAAUUACCGUUAAUUGAUUUUUAAGGUAGAUGUGAUAUAAAUCACCUGAAACUGUCGAGUCAUAUAGUGGUCACAAAGAAAGUGCUAAUUUGGCACUCGAUUGACCAAUAUGGGCGGUGGGUCUAUAAAAUUCAUUUUCUAAAAAACAUACAUUACACAUAGAUUAUAUAAUAUCAAGAUACAAUCUCAAAUUUACACAUCCAAUCUCAAACUUACAUAUAAAAAUUCAUACAUUUUUAUAUAAAAACAUACAUAAUAUAUUACACAUGCAUACAUCUAUUGCAUGGAUUACACGUACAAAAUUACAUAAUAGAUUACAAAAAAUACAAUGAAAUUCAAACUACACAUGCAUACAUUUCAAACUAUACAUAUUAAAACAUACAUAAUAUAUUGCACAUUCUUACAUUUCAAACUAUAUAAGUUUCAAAACAAAAAAAUAGACAAAAUUUUAUACCAAGCAAAUCAACAAUGGAGGACGAGGGUGGAGCAUGGAGCGGUGGGUGAUGGACGAGCGACGGCGAACAAUAGCGACGGACGAGCGGUGACUCUUCUUCUUCUCCCCUCUCUUUCUCUUCUUCUUUUCUUUUCUCUUUCGCAGUCUCUGUGUUAUGUGUUUACAUAACAAAUAGGGAAAGGAAAGACCGACACAACAUGAAAACGUCGACAUUUCCAGUCUUUCUCUGACAUUUCACUAAUGGUCGUAGUAAUUAAUGUGUAGACCUUUGUCGUCGUGGUCAAUGCUGACAUGGGCAAAGGUUUAAUUAUAAAAUUCAAUUUUAACAUUUGCCAACGUACGGAUAAAUCCUCCAGACUCCGGACGGAUUCAAACCUUUGCCGACGUGGUGUGUAAGAACGUCGGCAAAAGUCCAACCAUAAAACUUACUUUAUAACUUUCUCCGAUGUCCUCUGUGUCUGCGUCGAGGAGAGUGAAAUAAAAAAUUCAAUUUUUAUUUAUCCCUAACGUGGUUUACGUUUGCGUUGGCCUUGUCACCUUAUUCCAACGUGUAUUUCACGACGUUGACGUUUCCUCUCAUUGUCGGCAUUGUUUACGACAUCAAAAUAAUCCAUUUUAUUGUAGUGAUUUCUUAGUUUUCUAUGGAUCAAUUAUUUUUUCAUAAAUAAUCUUUUUUUUGGUUUCUAUGGUAAAAAUGAUGGGUUGGAAGGCAUGAAUUGUCACAUUUAUAUUUAUUUUAUCAUUAACAUUUAAGUUUAAUCACUAACCACAUCACAACAUAAAAAUAAAUAUAAAUGUGAUAAAUUCAUAAUUCUUCCUAAACAAGAUUAAAAAACAAUUUAGUUACGACUUAUAUUUAUUACUAUUAAUCUAUCCAUGAAAUUGGAUUACCAUGACACCAAUUUUGCUAAUUUCAAUGCUUUAGGAUUUAAUGAUGGUGCAAGUUGGGCAUUUGACUCAUUAUUUGUCCCAAAAGUUUCUUGCAAGGCUUUAACCCUUAAACCCACAAUUUCUCCCUCGCGACACCUACUCCACGCUGCGACCUCUUGAACGCGACUCCUUCUGCACGCCAGUGACCAGCUCGCAACAAACAGACAGCGGCGCACCAUCGGAGCGGGUUCUGUUCUGUAAAAAGUCCUCUUCUCUCCCGUUACCAGCUACUGCAGACCUCCCCGCCGCACGCUUCCCUCUCAGCUGCCACAGUCUCUGCCACCCACGAACUCACCGCCGCUCCCUCCAUCAGGCACUUAUUUCGGUCGUGUUGUUAGCUUACUCCGAAACAGAAACUGUGGUUCAGCUCCUAACGCCCGGCGUUCGUGGUCGCGCCGCUGCUCAUUCUUAGAAGAAAAUCACAUAACCAAUUCGUUUGAACUGAUUUUAUAUCCUCCCAAAUUUAAGGGUUCGAAACAGGGGAUAGUCUGUCCAUGGCCGCAGAAUCAACGCAGUCUACGUCUUCUCAAAAGAGAAGGCUAAAGAGGAAGAAAACCCAGAAAGACCCAGAAUUCGAACGUCUCGAUUCACUCCCGUGGAACUCAUCAAUCCCUAUCGACGACACUUUAUCUGCAUUUAUUGGUUCCAAUGAUCUCGAAGGAGGUUUGUACUUGUUUGUUCGUUCUUCUGUAUGCUUUGCUUUAGAGGUUUUCGUUAUAUUUGUGUGCAUUCUAAACCAAUACUGUUGUGUCUGUGACCAUUACUUUCUGCAGUCUUCAAAUGUAUGUAUCUACAUCGUUUGUUUAUUGUUACAUGACCUGAACAGGUUUCUUCAUCUUGUCAAGUUAUUAUUCAGUUUAUAGUUUUAUGCAUUUUUUUUUAUCGGCAGUGCUGAAAAAUAAUUGGGAUGGGCAUUGAAUAUAUAUAUAUUUUUAUUGGCUUGACACAUAUUAUUGAUGCUGAACGAGAAUUUAUGUUUGUGGGGUUUUGGGGUUUUACUGUUCAAUCAAAUCCUUUAGUAAUCAGUACAAAUAUUGCAAUAUACUAUAGGAUUUCUUUCCCUUGAGGAGAUUGACGAAGCUGAGUAUGGCAUGGUGAUUCCUGAACCUGACACAAGGAAACACAAAUUGAUACCAAAAGCCAGUGGAAAUACAAGGAAAGAGGAGCAAAACAAUGCUGAUUACUGUGAGGAUGCAUCAAGAGGUAGCAAUGAUAGUAUUGAUAAGGAAGCCGCGGGGCACAAUGUUAAUACGAAAACUAGCAAAAAAGGGAAAAAGGAGAAGAAGAAAAAGAAGAAAAAAAAGGUCAUUCAUGAAGUCCCAACGGCAGAGAAAGAUGUGGCUAUAGAUAUUGGUGGCAAUGAUAAUGAUGGGAUUGAGACAGAGAUUGGAGAUGAAAUGGACGAUGAUGAUCAUUUGGAGACGGAGAAGAAGCAACAAAAGAAAGAAAAAGAAACAAAGGACCAUGGAAUUGGUUGGUAUUAUUAUCAUAUAUAAUUUUGUGGAGCAUCAUAUUCUUUGUUUUUUGUACAGCAUUUGAUCAUUAAAUAUUGUUAUUAUUAUUUAUUCAUUGAAAUUUGUUAUGUAUUAUUCAGGGAGAAAAUAUAUUUAUUUGAUAUUUGUGAUUUUGAGGUUAUAAUUUGAUCAUUUGACCUCUUUUUGGAAGAGUGACUUCAAUGAGAACAUUUUUUCUUUUGGAGGUGGGAACUACUAAUGAGGUUUCAUUGUUGGAAGAAAUGUACAAAAACGAUAGUGAACUACCAAACUACCAUAGGUAGAUUACAAAAAGACCUAAACAAAAACCAAGUGACUAAGGUAGAAAGUCUCUAAAGGAGGGGUGUACUUACAUCAGUAGAUAGACAAAGCCCAAAUUCCACAACCUUUCAAGAAAAGGUAAGCUUAUCAAUGUUGAAAAUCCAGUUGUUCCUUUAUCCCCAAAGGUUCCAAAGAAAAAUUCUAUUCUUAUAAAGCCAUAUAGUAACUUUUGUUUAUUAGAAAGGAUGUGCCAUAGAAUUAGUGCUAGAAAGUUCAUGAUAUUGUUAGCCAAUGGUAUUUAGCAUUUCAUUCCAGUAUGCCACAAAUAGACAGUGAUAACAAAGGUGGCAUUGAGUUUCUGAAUUAUCCCUCGCAUUAUUCACGAGCUUGGAGAUUAGGCUGUGUACGACAUUCAUUUUUGCAUUUCAUCAAGAGUACUAACAUGGCUAAGUUCCCAAGUUAAUGCUUUGAUUUUUGGAGUAUAAUCCCUUCCAUAUUGCCGCACAUCCUUAGAAAAGAUGGGGAAUUUAAUAGGGUGGAUGAUUUGGAGGUAGACUUGUUUUCUCCCAAGUUUGGGGAAGUUAGCAAUGAGGUUAAGUUGGCAGUUUGCAAGUUUGUUGUCGACGUAGUCAAUAAAUUAAGGUUUAUAGGAGGUUCGUCAAGUAUGUUUAAGCCUCGUGACACUGGAGGGGGAGUGGGUUUGUCGGCUUGAAUAGGGUGUAAGAGAAUGGGUGUGGUAUGUCUAUGGACUAAAUACAUAAUUGUCUCUAUUAGAGCCUAGAUGAAGAUGGUGAUGAUUGGGUUGGUUAGAUGAGGAGCUAUUGAAGCCCAAGUUUAAGGAGAAUUGCCCCAAUGUUUCAUCGAUUUGGCAAGGAGUUUAAACUAGUGUUAGGGUUUUGAGGGAGCAGUUUUCUAAAAAGCCUAUGGAGCGUGUGCCUAGGCUCAAGGCCUAGGUUUGGCACCUAGCCUUUAACAAAAUAAGGCAUGCCUUUUGUGAAGCUCCUUGCACUUUGGGGAUUUUUCAUUUUUUUUUUAAAACAUAAUAUUUUGGAGGUUUAACUAAAAAAAUCAAAUUUACAAAGUCUUAAUGCAAAAUUACUAACCAUCAUGGAUUGGCCUAGUGGUAAAAAAUCUAUCCCUUGGUAAUCGUCAAUCCCUUAAAACCACCACAUAUAUUCCAUUCUUGGUUAAACCCCUGAACUCCCAUGGCUACAUCAUUUAGUUCCCUUCUAGCUUAUAACUAUGAGAUUCCAUGCAUCUUGCUAUUUGAUCCCACUUUUCACUUACCAACCCAUACUUUAACUUUGAAGAUGAAUGGGAUUCUUGUCAAUAUUGGUUCCUCUCUUAACAAUUCUAUUAGGAUUCUUUUCUUGAAAAUCAGUAAAUCCCUACAAUAAAUGGAGGAACGUGGACAAUACUCUGAGAUAAUAUAUUGAAUGUAAAUCAACAAGAAUUCACAAGGAAAUUAACAAUACAAGAUAUUGCAAGAUAAAACAGAAAAGGAAACAAUAACAAGCUAACAAAGGAAACACAUGUUACUCCAACUCCUUUGAGAAGGCUGGCCUUUUCUUCCAAAAGCUUUUAGCAGCUUUUCACGCAAUUAUGACCUUUUUCGGCAAUCCCCAAACCAUCCUCUUAUAUCCCCUCCCAGGUGGGUCCCUUAACUGGUUCUUACCUCUCCACUAACCGCCCCAAAAGUUGUCUUUUGUGUAAUACCCAUAUUACCUCUACCAACCUUGCUCUUACGCUUAUACGUGUGAAUGAUUGGAGGUCUAACAUUACCGCUCGACUCGAAAUGCACCUUGUCUCUUGUUGGAAUGUAGGAAACUGUUUAUUCAUCAGAUAAACUGAUUCCCUUGUAGCUUCACUGUUGGAUAGUCCCUUCCAAUUUACCAACCAUUCAUUUGCCUCUAAUUCACUAUUCCACCAUACCCGUAACAUAGUUUCAAGCAACAGUUGCAGUUUGAAUUCCUCCAUCAAUGCUAGUGGUAUGUGCUGCACUUGUUGAGUUUGUCCUAACUUAAGUUUUAUUUGAGAUAUAUGGAAAACAUUAUGAAUAACUACCUCAGGAGGUAAAUCCAACCGAUAAGCCACUUCCCCAAUGGUGUAGAUCACCUUGUAAGGUCCCUAAAAUUAAGGGGCCAACUUCUCACUUUGUUUCUGUGCUAAUGAUCUUUGGCAGUAGGGUUCUAGUUUGAAGUAGACUUCAUCCCCAACAUUAAAUUUCAACUCUCUUCGGUGUAAGUCAAUCUGCUUCUUCAUUCUAUCUUGUGCUAGCACCAAAUUUUCUUUCAAGGCAUUGAUAACCGAGUCUCUAUCUUCCAACAACUGUUUCACAUUGCUAUUCAUAGGUUCCCUAUCUCCAUAUGAAAUCAAUGGAGGCGACAAUCUACUAAACACAAUCUGCAAUGGGGUAGUCUUUGAAGAUGGAUGAAAUGUUGUGUUGUACUGGAGUUUCGCCCAAGGUAUACAUUUAUUCCAUUUGGUUGGCUGUUCAUUGCAAACACAUCGGAGAUACGUUUCUAGACAUUGAUUGUCCCUCUCGGCUUGGCCAUCGCUGUGCGGAUGGAAGGCAAUGCUCUUUUUGAGGAUUGUUCCCAUGGUCGAAAACAAUUCCUUCCAAAAAUUACUCAGGAAUAUCUUGUCAUGAUCUGCUAUUGGUAAUUUUGGAAUUCCAUGUUUGCUCACUACUCUCUCAAUAAAGAUCUUUGCUACUUGCUUGGCUGUGAAUGGAUGUCUGAGAGUGAUGAAAUGCGCAAACUUGCGAAGUUUUUCCACAAUAGCAAUGAUAGAAUUAAACACACCCGCUUUUGGCAAACCUUUUAUAAAAUCCAUUGUCCAAUCUUCAAGGAUUAAGUUUAGAAGUGGCAGCGGCUAUAAGAGGUCGAUUGGUGACAGUGAGUUUGUUUUAUUCCUCUGACAAAUCUCACAUUGCUCCACAUACUUCUUUACGCCAUUUUUCAUACCUAUCAAAUGCAAUUCCCUAUUCAUUCUUUUGUAUGUUCGAAGAAAGCUGGAAUGACCUCCCAAUGUGAAACCAUGAAACAUGUGCAACAGGGAUGGUGUUAAAGAUGACGACUUUGAUAAAACUAACCUCCCUUUGUAUAAUAACCGAUUAUUGACCCAUUGAUUGAUUAAGUUUCCCCUUCGGAUUUUCCUUUAAUAUGUUGACUAUUCGUUGCAAUUCCUUUUCCUUCUUGACUUUGUUUAAGACUACCACCAUAUCCACUAUUCAUGGUCGACAAUAUUGAUAUUUCCACCGGAUGAUUCACCCUUGACAGGGCAUCUACGACUUUGUUUUGAAGCCUGAGCUGGUAUAGGAUUUCAAGAUCAUAACCCAACAACUUUGUCAACCAUCUUUGGAAUUGAGGUUGUACUUCCCUUUGCUCAAUGAGGAACUUCAAUGGAUCACUGUAAACUUCCUUCCUAAUAAGUAAUAGCACCAUUUUGGCACUAGUCGUUACCAUGACCAUUAACUCUCUCACAUAUAUUGAUCUUACUUGCACUUGUGGGGAUAAUUUUUUACUAUAUUACGCAAUAGGCUUAGCACUUGCUCUAAUCCAACUCUUGAAGUAUCGAUCUCUAUUAUGGAAGGCAAUGAAAAAUUCAGAAGAGCUAAGACAUGAACAAACAUCAUGACUUGUUUCAGUUGUUUGAAUGCCCUUGGUCGCUUCCUCAUUCCACUUGAACGCAUUUUUCUAUAAGAGUUUGGUAAGUGGUGCUGCAAUAUCCCCAUAUCUCUUUACAAAAUGCGUUUAGUAUCAGUUAAACCCAAACAUCCACGAACUUUGUAACAUCUUUUGGUUGGGGCCAGUUCACCAUUGCUUUAACCUUUUUCCCCUUUGCUUCCACGCCUUUGCUCGAAAUCCAAUGGCCCAAGUAUUGAAUCCUCGAGUGCCCAAUUACACACUUCUUUCUAUUAGUGAACAAUUGGUUGUCCUUAAGAAUGCUGAAAACAACCACACAAUGCUUUUCAUGCUUUGUGAUGUAUGUGUUGUACACCAUGAUUUCAUAAAAAGACAACAAUACAAAGCGUCUCAAGAAUGGUCGAAAAACCUGGUUCAUUAAAGAUCGGAAGGUGGCAUGAGCGUUUGUCAACCAAAUGGCAUAACUAGGAACUUGUAAUGUCCCUCAUGUGUGGGGAAAGCAGUCUUCUCAAUGUCGCCCUUUUCAUUCUGAUGUGAUGAUAACCAGAAUGUAGGUCUAAGUCUAAUUUUGAAACCACAACCACCCCAUGUGUAAUUCAUCAAGUAGUUCUUCGAUCACAUGUAUCAGAAAUUACUGUCACUUGAUUCAAUUUACGGUAAUCAACACAAAACCUCAUACAAUCAACUUCGGGAAGGACUGUUUAGCCGAUUGUUUACUAAUUAGGCUUCCUUCAUACAUUCUUCUGACGUCUUCGGAUGACGGCUCACCAUGUUGAUAGACCACCAAUUAUACACCAGUACAGUUGAAAGAAGAAGAAGCAAGGAAUAACCGCACGUGCCCAAGGAAAAUAGUUUUUAAUAUUGUUAGUAGAUAUUUUCAUAAUAGGGGGAGUAUAAAUAGGAGGUUGUUAAGGAGAGAGAGAGUUAGUUAGAAAGUAUCAUUUGGCUUCAGGCUAUUCCUUGAAAGAUAGGAAAGCAGAAGAGAGUUUUAUAUUUCCGAAUUAAGGAGCUCUCAAUUCGUUUCCCUUGUAUUUUCCUUAUUAUUUCUGCAAUAUUACUAAAGUACUAAAAUAAAUCUUACUUGAUCGAAGAGGAGUUUCAUCAUUUGGUAUCAAAGCACGUCGGUUCUGGGCAGGGGAAGAACAAUGGUUCACACGUGAUCGGAAGAGAGAAUGGAAGCUCACAAUCAGGAAAUGCUGUUGAUAAAAAAAAAAAGUAAAAUUCCGGUGAUCGAAGAAAGUUUAACGACGAUUAGUAUACAAAUGGAAAAGACGCAUCAAAUGUUGAUGAUGCUCAUGGACUAGAUUGCGAAGGAACGAACUACAACCAGUGAGAAAAUGGCCGAAUACAGUGCACAAGAAAUCGGAUUCAAAAAAAAUAAUGAAGGAGAGAGUUCGACAAACAGAAGAGGCGAGAACGAAGUUAAGGAAAAGAAGAAUGAGGAAGGAGCGAAUGAAAGAAACAAAUUCUUGGCUCUUCCGUGCCGAUCGGUAUUUCCAAAUUCACAAACUGAACGAUGCUGAUAAAGUGUUGGUUGCGACCAUCAGUUUUGAAGGCCCAACGCUAAACUGGUACAGGGCACAGGGCACAGGAGGAACGUGAUAAGUUUACGGGAUGGAAAAAUCUAAAAGAGAGAUUGCUUGUGCGAUUUCGAUCGUCAAGAGAAGGAUCCAUCUGCGGGCAAUUUCAAAGAAUUAAGCAACAAACCACGGUGGAGGAAUAUCGUAAUGAGUUCGAUAGAUUAAUGGUACCACUUGCUGAUUUGCAAGAUCGAGUGGUAGAGGAGACAUUUAUGAACGGUUUGUUUCCGUGGAUCAAAGCGGAGGUGGUUUUUUGUAAACCGGUCGGUUUAGCCAAGAUGAUGCACGCGGCUCAACUCGUGGAAAACUGGGAGAUUAUUCGUAGUGAGGUAAAUCUAAAUGGUUAUGCCAAAGGUAAAUAUCCUCCUUCAAACUCUUUAAAUACUAAGAGUAGUGCAGUGGUGAACAACAGUGAUAACAAAGGAAAUACCAUAUUUUCGAUGAGGGCAGUCACCUUAAGAACUACGACUGGAGAAGUUAAGAAAGAAGGACCGAAGAAGAGACUAUCUAAUGUAGAAUUUCAGGCCCGAAAAGAGAAGGGGCUCUGUUUUCGCUGUAAUGAGAAGUAUCAUGAUCAUAGAUGUAAAGGAAGGGAGCAAAGGGAAUUGAGAAUGUAUGUUGUGAAAGAAGACGAAGAAUAUGAAACCGUGGAGGAAGUUGAGGACGAGGAUAAAGAGUUGAACUGCGUUGAGAUAGACCAAGAAGAUCAGGCCAUCGUUGAACUUUCAAUAAACUCAGUGGUGGGAUUGACGAAUCUGGUAACAAUGAAGGUGAGGGGAAGGAUUAAGGAUAGAGAGGUGAUUAUUUUAAUCGACUGUGGAGCGACUCAUAAUUUCAUCUCAGACAAGGUGGUGUAGGAAUUGAGAUUACCCACGAAAGCCACUUCCCAUUAUGGGAUCAUUUUGGGCUCAGGUGCUGCUGUGAAGGGUAAAGGAGUGUGAAGAUAUAGAACUUGAACUGGAGGGAUGGAAGGUGAUAGCGAAAUUCUUACCACUUGAGUUGGGAGGAGUAGAUGGGGUGUUAGGAAUGCAAUGGUUGUAUUCACUGGGAAUGACAGAAGUGGACUGGAAAAUCUUAUCUAUGACGUUUUUUUGUCAGACUAUUGAUUUAGUGGCCUCUCCUAUUUUGUGUUGCCUUAGUUCGAGUUCAUCCACCUCUUUUUGGAAGUAUCCUUUGCUUAAUUGUGGUGUCCUCGUGAUGGUGUUCCCUAGGUUGUUUCAUACGGCUCAUUAUCCUUAUAUUAAGGUGGCUGAUGUAUGGAAUGGUGAUGCAGAAGCUGGGAUUUAUGUCUUCGUCCAAAUCGUAAUGAGCUUGAAAUUUUAGCGUGGGUUCCUCUGUCUCACCUGUUGUUCUCUGUCAGACUUCGUGCUUCUCUUGGUUCAUGGAGGUGGUCUAUCGAUCCAUCCUCAUAUUUUUCUGUGAAAUCUUUUGGAUGACUUGAUGGCCACUGUGGAUCCUCUUGCAAAGGAUCUUUAUUCUGUUAUUUGGACGGAAUUGGGAUCAUUAUCCUAUGAAAAUAAAAAAUUUCUUAUGGGAGUUUAGCUCGAGUGCUAUCAAUACUACUGAUCGUCUAUGUUGCAUACCUUAUCUCUCUCCAUCCUGGUGUGUUAUGGGUUGGAGUCAUUUCGAGUCCUUUGCUUUUUUGUUUAUGCAUUUUUUUGCCUCUUGCUUCUAGCAUAUUAGUUUGGUUGCUUUUGAUUGGUCACUAGCCAACUCUCCAACUCUAAUAGUACUGUUGACAUCUUUGCGUUUCUUUUGGUGGGUCAUUUGUUUAGUACAAAGAAGACUGUUUUCAUAAAAAAAAAGGUACUAAGAAUACUGUUUUGUUGGCCAUAUUACGUGCUUUUUUCUAGACAUUUUAGGGCAAGCCUAAUAAGCAUCUCUUUAGAGAUUUCGCUACUUGUUUAAUAGUUUCAUGGAUUUUGUUCUAUCUACAGAGUUGUAUUGGUGCAAAAUGAAGCCCCUUCGAAUUUUUAUCUUUUUUUUUUAGUUUCCAAUGGGAAAUCCUUUUUGUAAUCACCUAUUGGUGCUUGUGAUCUUCUGUUGUAUCAUUUUUUCAACAAAAUGUUUCUUCUCUUAAAAAAAUCUCCUUCAUUUAGGAUUAAUCCAUACCUGUCUGAGUUGCCUCAAAACUAUGGACAAGCUUCAAAAAAGAUGUCUAUGGAUCAAUCUCCCAAACGUUUCUUGGACGAAUGAGAGAUCUGGGAUGAAAUUUUGGUAUUUGGGGUUUCCUUAAAUGUUUAUUGAUUAAAGAAGUGUUUGAUUUACAACCUUACUUGGAUCUGUCCUUUGAGUUGUACAAUUGUGUCCUUGAGUUCUAAAACAAUAUAGUUUGAUUUGCAUAUAUUGAUAUAUUUAAUAUGAUAUUAUUUGACGAAUUGCACAUGACAUAAUUUUGAUUUGCAUUUAGAUAAAGAAAUCAGGGAUGAAGUUGAAAAGGAUGCAGUUGAUGAAACGGAAUAUUAUGCAUGGAAUGAGUUGAGACUGCAUCCUUUGCUUAUGAAAUCGAUCUACAAACUUGGGUUUAAGGAACCUACAGCAAUCCAGAAAGCGUGUAUUCCAGCUGCUGCUUACCAGGGGAAGGUUGGUUUGUCUGUUUUCUUUGUUACCCUUACGACUUGCUUGACCCUACAACAUUUAGGUGUCAAGGAAACUAGUAAAAAAUUAAUUACUAGAUCUUUGGCCAUCAUGGAUUGAACCUGUGACCUUUUAGUUAGUUAUUGAGACGAUGUCUCUUUUUUUACCAUGCCAACCCAUGAUGGUUGUUAGUUUGUCUUUCUUUUGUUGCAAGGGUGGAAAAAGGAUCAUAUUUUGCCUGCCAUUGAGUUUUGCUUAUGUGACAGGAUGUUGUGGGUGCUGCUGAGACAGGAUCUGGAAAAACACUAGCUUUUGGAUUGCCAAUUCUACAACGAUUCUUGGAUGAACGAGAGAAAUCUGGAAAGAUGUCUGAAGAAAAAGGAGUAGAUGCAAAAAAAUAUGCUCCCAAAAGUCUUCUACGGGCUUUAAUUAUUACUCCUACUAGAGAACUUGCUCUUCAGGUGAUUUCUUUAUGCCCACUCAUGGCUAGAGGCCUAAACAAGUAUGUUUGCAGUGGCUACAGGAGAUAAAACGUGCCAGGAUCAACGAUCUUAGGAUAAGAAAUAUUAGCGUUGGUAGUUAGAUUUUAAGAAAACUUCCUACCUUAAAAUAAUAUUCAAGGUCUCAAAAUGACAUUCUCAUUUCUUGUUUGUUUCUUAUUAAUACUUGCAAUGAUAUUUGGAUUAAUUGGGAUGGGUUCAUAUCCCUUCCUUGGCCUGUUUCGUAUUUGUAUUCUCCUUUCACUUAUGUUUCAUUCCAUUUAUUCAUCACUAAUAACUGAUAAGUUUGUUUCUUAUUAGAAAGAAAAAAACGACCUACUUAAGUUCCUUUUAUGUCAAGAUGUAAUUCUAUUUUAUUCUUGUUUUUUAAGCAUAAAUUUUAAGUCCACAGAUCCAUAAUGACAAAACACAAGCAAAUUAUUAACUGAACUUAUUUUAUUUGGAUUUUUGUAUGUGUUGAAUUUGGGGUUUAACUUCCUCUCCUUGAUCUUUUACUAUCAGGUUACUGAUCAUCUCAAGGCAGUCGCAGUAGGUAUAGAUAUCAGGGUGGUUCCAAUUGUUGGUGGAAUGUCCACUGAAAAGCAGGAAAGGCUUUUAAGGACGAGGCCCGAGGUUGUAGUUGGAACACCAGGACGGUUGUGGGAACUUAUGUCAGGAGGAGAAAAACAUCUUGUAGAGGUGAGCACUUCAUGUAUUGAUUAAACUUGUCCAUGUCUUCAUCCUCCAGUCAUAAAAAUUAAAAAGUCCGAUUUUCGAUUCCUCCUAACCUUUUUUGACUCCAGUCUCCACCAUGUAUUAUCUAAGCUCAUCGAUCAGGAUACUUAUUUUGCAAACACCCUUCAUCAAUACGUGCCUUUACCUCCAUAAUGUUGUGGUUUAUGUUUUCCGUAUUUUGUUUUCCUGUGAAAUUAUCUCAUUUAUUCCCUCUUCUAAUUAGCCUUUAAUAUGAUCAGCAUGGAACUUUUCUUAAGCACUUCUGAGAUGUACCUUGUAAAGUAGGGAGUAGUAGUUGUAAAAGUGCUAAGUUGCCAGAUUUUAUUCUUGGUGAUAUUUAAAUAUCAACUUCAUUCUUUUCCUGUAAUAAAUAGGAUGGUAAUGUUGACGCUCUUCAACUUUUCUGUUUCAGUUGGAGGCAUUGUCUUUCUUUGUGUUGGAUGAGGCUGAUAGGAUGAUAGAAAAUGGACACUUUCGUGAGUUGCAGUCCAUUAUAGAUAUGCUUCCUGUGACCAAUGGUUCUGCAGAAAAUUUACAAAAUGCAGAGAACUCUUUGACCACUCCAAUUUCUCAAAGAAAGAAAAGGCAAACACUUGUGUUUUCUGCUACAUUGUCACUAUCUUCUGAUUUCCGUAAGAAACUAAAGCGUGUAUCAUCCAAACCUAACCAAUCGGGAAUGGAUGGUUUGAAUUCUAUAGAAGCUCUAUCUGAGAGAGCUGGAAUAAGACCUAAUGUUGCUGUUAUAAAUCUGACAAACACAUCAGUUUUGGCAAAUAAUCUUGAAGAAUCAUUUAUAGAGUAUGCACCUUUUCAUCUUAUAUCUAACAUUUUGUAUUUCUUUUGUUUAUUAUUGUUGUUGUUAUUGUUAUUAAACAAUGGGGAGAGAGAAAAAAAAAUUCAAAACAGCAAAUACAUCGAAAAUGUAACUCUUUUGUUAUUUCUAUUGGAUGUUUAAUUUAUAUCAUAUAAUUGCACAAGGAAUAUUCAAUAUGUUUGCCAACUGAGUAUAUGUUUUUGUAUGGACUCUGUAAAUGAUGUAUUGUGAUUGAGGAAGGCCAAUCCCAUUUACAUCUUUUUGUAGUAGGGCAGCUCAAAAUUUUACAUCAUUUCUAAGCUUUUUAACAACAUUGAUUUCCAGUCGAAGUACCUGUACAUGUCCGUACACCUUAUUAGAUUAUGGUCUACAUGACUUGGUUUUUUAUCUUUUAGCUAGUAUUGCAUAAUGUAUGGUACAGCUUUCCUAGUAAUCGACAUCCAUCUCUUAUCUCCUUUUUGUCCACAAGCUACAAUCAGCUGCAUGGGUAGUUGGCGUCCAUGCUUCCUAAUUUUGUUAACAGAUUAUAAUAUGAUUAAUUGGACCUUUUUUGUGCUAACAGAUAUUAUGCGUUUGGUAUGACAUACCAUCAACUAUGCUUGUGCCUGUCUUUUUGUGUUUUCUUUGCAUGAGUAAUCUUUCUCCAGUGUGUUCGAAUCAUUACUAAAUCAUGACCUACUUGCAGAUGCAGGGAAGAAGACAAAGAUGCUUAUUUGUAUUACAUUCUGUCUGUUUAUGGACAAGGCCGCACUAUUGUGUUUUGUACAUCCAUAGCUGCAUUACGGCAUAUUGCUGCUUUAUUAUCCAUUGUUGGCGUUAACGUCUUGACUCUUCAUGCUCAAAGGCAGCAGCGAGCACGCUUGAAGGUUAGCUUACUAUUUAGACAGCUCGUAUCUGUCAUACAGUCCUUUCAUAUGUGGGGGUGCUGAGUUGGGCAAGAACUCAUGCUAUCUUUUCUUUGAAAAGGAUACGAGACUCAUUAUUAUUAAUAUUGAGAAAUAAAGAGAACCCUUAAUGUACAUGAGAGUUAUAUAAAGAGCAAUGGGGGAGGGAGGAUCAGCAGUCGCACUUGGACAUCUCAACUAGGUUGACACCCCCUUAGCGCCCUCAUCACAUCCAAAAAGUGACAAUACAAGAUCAAACAAAAAACCACAAAAACAAAGCCAAACAAAAUGGUAAAAUAAUCUGGCCAAAGCAAAAUCAUAAAUCAUAGGCAGCAAGCCUAGAACAAAGAAGAAUAAGCCUUGAUUGAUUGAUCAAAAAACUGUUUGAAGCAGAGGGCUGAUCCGGAAGUCCUGAUGAUCAAGGACUUAAGGUGGGGAGAUUAUAAAAGCUGGCCAAUUUAACGCAGCAUCCUGCAAAGAGUAAUCCUGAAAAUCUUUGGAUAGAGAACACCAUGAAGAUGCAUUCAAGAGACUAAAAUGAGUUUGUAGCUCUGAUGAAGCACCAUGAAGAUGCUUUUGUUUAUUUCAACCAAUACAUUAUAGUGUGUAGCUCUAAUAGCAUUAGAUCAAAUUACCUUAGUUUUCCUAUUUAAGAAAAAUUGUACUUGUGCAAAAUAAAAGAAGAAAUUUGAUACAACACUGGUGCUUCAUUAGAACUACAAACUCAGAGACUUCCUAUUUUUUUUCACCCCAGGCAAUUGAUCGUUUCCGUGGAAGUCAAAAUGGGAUACUGAUUGCCACUGAUGUUGCGGCUAGAGGCCUCGAUAUUCCCGGUGUUCGAACUGUUGUCCACUAUCAACUACCACAUUCAGCUGAGGUUAGUAAGAUACAGUUUGCCUUGUUUGAACCUUUUCUGUGCAACUGUUACUAAAUGUCUAAUUUGAAAGUAGGUUUAUGUUCAUAGAAGUGGAAGAACAGCCAGAGCUUCUGCCGAUGGUUGCAGUAUCGCGUUGGUCUCAGCCAAUGAAACUUCCAAAUUUGCAUCUCUGUGCAAAUCAUUCUCUAAGGUAGCAAAUCUAUAAUCAUGUAAAAAGCGGUAGCAGAUCUAGAAAGAUUAUUUAUUGUUCCUACCAUGUGGAUUCGCCAUACUAUUGUUUUUGUUUUCUUUUCUCUAUCUGACUUGUGUUUUAAAGAAAUAGUAGCUGCCAAUAUGAGGCUCUUUAACUUGUAUAGUCUUUUUGGAUAUAUCAGCAAUAGCUGCGAUGUCUUUUGAGCAAUCUUCCUUAUACAUGCUUCAUUUGUUUCUGUUCCGAUAGGAAAGCUUCCAGCGAUUUCCUGUUGAUAAUUCAUACAUGCCAGAGGUUCUAAAACGUUUGUCUCUUGCACGCCAGAUUGACAAGAUUGUGCGGAAGGAGUCCCAGGUAAACAUAGGCAUAAUUCCAUGCCUAUAUAUUGCUUACACAUGGAAAUUUGUGUCCUGGAACGGCACUUCCUAGUUCCUUUUUGUGCUCCUGCUAAUUGGUGUAAUUGGCUGUGAUUUGUUUCUGCUUAUUACCAUAGUUCUAAUCCUAGAGUUACACAUGUUCAUUUGGUUUUUUGGUUGUUAUGAGUUUAAAGCUAUGUUGCUGAUUUCUAGGAGAAGGCAAGUAAAACUUGGUUUGAGCGGAAUGCAGAGUUAGUGGAAUUAGUUGUGGACAACGAUGACAGUGAAGAGGAGAGAGCAAACAAUUAUAAGCAGAAGAAAGUUGGCUGCAUCCAGUUAAAGAAACUGCAGCAGGUACUAGCCGCAAUGGCUAAUUUUUGAAAAAAAUUAGGUGAUAUGGUGGCUAUGUUAAAUUCCACUGGUAUUAUCUUCCUUCCUUUUAUAACUUAUUACUAAUUGCAGGAGCUCGACAAGCUGCUUUCCCACCCUCUGCAACCAAAAUCAUUUUCACACCGAUAUUUGGCUGGUGUAAGUACUACUAUUAAUUGUUAGAUGUUCCGUUCAUAAGUUUUCCCCAUUGCUUCUCAUAAAUUUUCUGGAUUAAGGAUUAUCUUUUUGUGAAAUGUUGUAAUAUGAUAAAAUAUUUUGCAUCAAGAGAAAAAGUUCCUCUAUGUAAAGAAAGGAAGUGGGAGAAAGAAAAUAACCGCUGUCUUUGCUAUUCAAACAACAGCUUAUCAUCAAAUAUUUUGAUCAUGAUUUACCCUGCUUUUGUUGGUUUUCUUGAAAUAUCCUUUUCUUUUUACCCGUGCUAAUGUACCUGUUUCCCCAGUCAAUGGGUGCAUGGGUUUGAAUAAUCUCUGGUUUUCAGCUAUUGGUUAUUCAUAGUAAAUUACUAAUUACACAAUGACUGUAUUCCCUCCUUGCUUGUCAGGCUGGGGUUUCACCUCUUCUGCAACAUCAAUUUGAAGAACUGGCCAAGCAGAACACUUCUGUUCAGACUAUGGGAGAUAACAAAAGGAGGAAGUUGGCUGCUUUUGGUCAAGAUCUUACAGAACCACUUCAAGCACUUCGAACUGGUGGUCAACAGGUAUCAAGCACUUUCUACUUUCAUUGAAAAUCAGUUUUCUUGUCUAAAUGGUUUGUAGGGUAAUUGAAUGAUGAAUCAUCCAUUUAGUCAAAAUUUCAACUAUUUAUCUGUAAGACCCCUAGUUAGGAAAGAAUAGGAUUAUUAGUAUGGUUACUAGAAUGGGCAUAUUAGUAGUUUGAUAGUACGUUGGUUAUAAAUAGUAGGAGGGGUGGUGGGGAAAAGUAUGAAGAAUUCUGUAGUGGAAUUUCCUUGAGUGGGAUUUUUUUUUUUUUUUUUUUGAUAAGAAACAAGUGUAUUCAUAUAACAAAAAAGAACAACCUAAGGGCAAGGGACAAGAGGGCCCUUCCCGGAAGAAACUAAGAAACUAAGAAAUGAUAGCCUUUCAAUUGUUGAAAAUCAUUGAAAGGCUAUAAUUACAAAAGUGUUUGGUGUAAUUCGUACUCCACCAAGAAGCUGUGUAUUGCAACACAGUCCAAAAAGAAUCAAAAGAAUUAUAGCUAUCUUCAAAGAUUCUACUAUUCCUUUCUUUUCAAAUACACCACAAAAGGGACCGAGUCGCACAUUUCCAUAAGAUGUUUCUUUUUGGGCUAUAACCUCUAAUGUUGAGUCCUUCAAUCAUUCAGCCAUCAAUCUUACUAGGGAGACAAAGCUCCAAUUCAAAAAUCCUAAACAAAGUGUUCCAAGCUUUUUUAGUAAAGAGACAAGUGUAGAAAUAGAUGGUCCAAAGUUUCCUCUUCUUUGAAGCAGAGACAACACAUCAAGGGACUAAGCAAGGUGUUCUGAACUUUUUUUUUUGUAGCUUCUCAUGAGUGUUAAGGCUUCUGUAAGCGAGCGACCAUAAGAAAAACUUCACCUUCUUUGGAAUUUUAUUCUUCCAAAUAUGACGAAUCAAAGGAACAACAAUGGAGGGGAUCUCUUGGUUAAGUUGAGAAAGGUGGACUUUGUAGUAAAGUUGCCAUUAACGUUAGGAGUUUAUUUAAGACUAUCAUUCCCUUCGGUGGGGGCCCAAGAAUGAAGAAUUUCUAAAACUGAGGCCACAUUGGUAAUCUCGUUAUCGAGCAUAUUUCUUCUAAGGCCCAAAUUCCACGAAUGAGUAGCAGUACACCAACAUUCAGCCGCGUAAAUAUCCUUAUUCAACGACACAGAGAAUAAGUUGGGAAUUUUUUUGCAAGUGGGUUCCGCCAGAGGACCAGCAAGCAAAAACCCAGCCAGACGACCAGCAGAAAACCAAAAACAAUAGUCCAACAGAGAGGAAACCCAACAAGCAAAAAAACAAUAUCUAGAAGAGACCAAUCCAGGAUCCAAUUCAGAACAGCCCAAACAAAACACAGGUGCAGAAGCAGAAAAAAUAUCCAUGCAGAACACAAGCUAGCAACCAACAACCAACCAAAAAUAUAAAGUUGAACAAAUCAAGAAAUCACUACACCCAACCAGCCAUUCUAAAACCAGCACCAACCAACAUUGAGGUGGAGACGGAAAGACGGCGAGACGGAUGAUAGACAUCCGGGAAAACAUCAAAGGUUAGAAAGAUAAGAAGAAUCAUUAUAGAGAGCAUCGUUUGAGGAAAGAAAAAGUGGAGACUCUGUUCAACAGUGGUGGAUGGCUAGAUUCACCAAUGGAAGUUGACAGAUGGGAUUGCCGAGGAAGGAUAAAAUGGAUGGCAAUGAGGAAAAUGGAACUGGAAAACGUAAAGGGCGGUGUACAGAUGGAGAUGGAGACGGUGCUGGCAGCUUAUGGCUCGGAAUGGCAAAGAGGUCAGCAGACGGAGAAAAGACGGUUGAGAUUUGCAAAGGGAGUUGGCAUACAGAGUACGGAGAAGAUGAUUUGCAAAAGAGAAAAAAUUGCGUGAGGAGGGAGAGAUAAGGGCUGCCCACGUGAAAUAGGGGGGUAUUAAUUCAAUUUGGGCUUCGGCCUGAAAUCACUAAAAAGGGUUGAAACCCAUUAUUUUGUGCAGAUGCAAACUGAAGGGGUGGGUUGCAACACGUGAAAAUGGGAAGGAUUGGAAGGAAGAAAAAGGAGGCUGGAGGUGGGAUUAUGGUAUGGAAAAUGUAGCAGCAUGAUUCUGGGCUUGAUUGUGGGCUGGAAUUGUUUAAAGCUCAUUGCUACUUUCAAAGAAGAUAAAGGAGUAUGGGCCCAAAAGAUUGACUUGAUUUUGGAGCAACCAAUGGAUUAUAGGCCUAGCCCAUUUGGGUAGAAUAGCCAAUUUGAAGAACACUUCCAGUGUGGUGGAGAUAGGCUCGUGGAAAUAUUGUGGAGUCCUUGGGUGCUUAUUGGGCUGAAUCCAAGUGAACUGAUUGAAGCUCAAGUGUUCCCAAAGCUGAAGAGGGUGACACUGUGUCAUUGUGUUUUGUAAUCAUACCUUGAGGACAAGGUGUCUUCACGGAGUAUCGUAAGGCCCCUAGUUAUGUUAGAAUAAGAUUAUUAGUAUGGUUAUUAGAAUGGGCAUAUUAGUAAUUUGAUAGUAAGUUGGUUAGGGCUUUUUAGUAAUAAAUAGUAGGAGCGGGGUUGGGGAAAGGUAUGAAGAAUUUUGUACCGGAAUUUUCUUGAGUGGGAAUUCAGGAGAGUCUGGCCAUCUUGAAAGGCUAGGGGUUACUCAUUCUUAUGAUAUUAUAGCUUAUAUUUCAAUAUAUUUUUCAUAUUUGAUUGUUCUUGAGUUGUGUGUUCUUGAGUAUCUCUUGUUAGGUUAGGAUCCUAACAGUAUCCUUCUUUGACAGGUACAUAUGAAUGCAAAAGAGAUGGCUGAAAAACGGAGGAAAAUGGAGAACGUCAAGAAAAAGAAAAAAGAGGAGAAAAAACGUAAGCUACUAAAAUCUUUAUUGAAUGGGACUCUUUUUUCAAAAUUCUUCCUCUCAACUAUCAUAAAAUAUUAAGUAAUGUCAAGAAAUGAGUGGUCAAUUAGAAACCAAAAAUACCAAAACAUUCUAGAUAUCAUAUGCAAGCAGCCUCGUCAAAAAGUACAUUCUUUUAAAAGCAAAACGAGAUGGAAAAUAUAAAGAUAACAGAAACGCUGAGACAUAAAUAAUGUGAUUAUCUUACUAAAACAUAAAAUAUAACCCAUAUUUAUAUUGAAUGGGACUCUUUGGUGGUUUUCGAAUUGUCAUCUUUAUAAUUUCCAGUUCUAAAGAACUGUAGAACGUUGGAAAUCUGCUCUCAGGUUCCUCAUUUCACAAUUAUUUUCUUGCAGGCUUGCGCGAUCAGCGGAGAAAUAAACGGAAACAAAUGAAAGGCAAGAUUUAGAAAAUUGAUCAUUCUGGUAAAUUGCAUUAAAGUUUGUAGAACAAAUGAAUAACCGAUACAGUGCUCUUGUGUUUAAUUUUAGUUUUUAGGUCUGAUUUUUUUUGGGUAAAUUAUGAACAGAAAAGAAUGCUGAUUUUGGUGAUGUAUGGGGGGACAUCAAAAUUUUGAGCAGAGGGUUAGAUUGGCUAUAAUUUUAUGGCAAUUUUGUGUAGAUGGAGAACUGUUGGAAUGUUAAAGGCAUAUUUUUUAGGUGACGUUUGAGGCACAGAUGAUCCUGCCUCAGAUGGGUUUGGUUAUUGCUUCCUUAACAAUUGUUUUCUUAGUAAAUAACACUUUCUCAAUACCAAUGCUAAUAUUGGCAAAUGAAGUCUUCUAAAGCAUCAUAAGGAUGGAGAAUGAAAGUUUUCCCGUGCAUCUGUUUAGGUCAAAUUUGCAUUGUCGGUAGAAAUUGAAAAGUUUGAUUGUGAGUACAUUUUUAGUCGAUAUCCUUUUGUUUUUAUUUUGGGAAAGAUGAUUUCUCCCAUACUUGAAUAAGAAUAUGAGAUUGAUACCCCUUUUAAAAUGGAGUUUUAGAAAAUGCAUGUUUGUCAGUGUCAAAUCUCCUAUAUUAUUUGAUGAAAAAGUGGAAGUUGGGAAUUUUACUCAUUUAUUUAUUUAUAUUUUAAAAUUAUAAUAAUUCUUAAUAAAUAAAUUUCAUUAUGGUAUGAAAUUCACAAAAGAAGGGCAAUAGCAUAAGUCAACAGAGUUACAAGAGACUUAUCGGUAUAAACAAAUUGGCCAAAUGUGGAAUAGAUAGAAAAAAGGAAAAGACAAUCAAUACAAAAAUGAAAUCACGAGACUAUGCAGAAUCUAUCACUUUCUUAUCUUAACCUAUGGUUAUCUUACUAAAAUAUAAAUAUAAAACAAGACACCAUUUGUUUGUGCUGAGGAUAAGGAAUAGAAUGACAAACGGCAAUAACAUAAACUAAUACUAAGUGGGUGUAAAAGUACCAUUAUAUCUGUUUCCAUUGAAGACAUGACUUUUAUGUAUCCUUGAGUUGCCAGACAAAUUGGGACUAGUUUUUAGAUUAGGCAUAUGAAAAGAAUAAAAUUGUUUCUUUGAGUCAAUCCUGAUCAAACUAGAGAUACUGUUAGGACCAAAUCGAGAUUUAGUUCUUUAGUUUUCUCUACUUUUUGUAUGUUCAGCUAAAUGCAUAUGGAUGGUGUCAUAGCUACAGUAAAUUGUAUUAUAUUCACCCUCUCCCAUUGAUCCUUCUUGAUUGGAAGGUUUUUUGUUAGUAGUUUCCUUGGGAGAGGGCUUGCUCUCCCCUGGCCUUUGGGUGGUUACUCGUAUACGCACACACACACAAGGUUUCUCAUUAAAAAAGAGAAAGAAAAAAAAUGGUCUCUCUACUCAUUACAUCGUUAAAAAAAUAAAAAGAAAGAACAUUUGAAAAAUAAUGUCUGAAAUGAACUUUUGGACGAUAAUAAAUCUUUCCCCCUAUUCAUUAGAUUAAAAAAAAUGCCCCCCUAUUUAUUACCCAAAAGCAUACAUCAUAACUAAGCUUAUCGUGUAUUUGCAUAUAAAAGUUCACAAAACAGAGUUUUAAGGUGAGAUCUGGACUACUUUCCAGGAUUUUUACAGUUAAGACUCCACGAAGUUAACAUAAUUAUCUUUUUAAAAAUAUUUAACAAAAGGGUGUGACUAGAUUGUGCACAUUAGCUUUGCCAAAUGCAGAAUUUGGUGUGAGAUUGGUGUGAAAAUCCUCAAAAUUCCACAGCAAUCCAUCCCAUAAUUGAUGGUCUUCCAUCGAAAUUGCCUCGGGCAGAGACAACAAGAGGCUUCCUGGCUGGUCAUGAUCUAUUUGGGGAUUGAAGUUACUGAUUAUGCCAGUACAAGAUUCUUGCCUUAUUUGAGGCUGAGAAUUGUUUAUAGGUUCAGCUUUCAUAGCAGGUUGUCGGUUCAGUUGCUGCUGCUGUCUUAGGAGUUCUCGAUGUUGUUGUUGUCGUAAGAGUUCCCAGUACUGUUGUUGUUGCUGCUGCUGCUGUUGAUGAUAUUGAUGCUUUCUUAGAAACCGAGCAUUAGGCUUUUCAUUGCGGCUGGAAGUUACUUUUGCUUUUUUCUUAAAAUGGGUUCUCCAAUAGUUCUUGAUUUCGUUAUCAGUUCUUCCUGGCAAACUUCUAGCAAUGGUAGACCACCUGUAGUAUUUACAAAUAACAUGUUUAGUUCUUUUUAGCUGUUUCAUAAUUUACAAAAUCUAUAGGUGAUAAAUGUUCAGUGAGGCCUCUUCAUAUCUUCAACAAUCGUACUGUACCCAGAUAUUAUUGUUUUAUUGUUUUUUGUUCUCAGGACCCACCAAAUUUUUGUUGUUAAACUUAGGAAAAAGAAGGGAGGAUUACCUGUUACCCCAUCUCGCAUGAAGCUCUAGAAUUAUGCUCUCUUCAUGUGGGGUUAUCUGCCCUCUCUUUAGGUCUGGCCUCAGGUAGUUUACCCAUCGCAGCCUACAACUCUUCCCAUUCCUUCUCAAUCCUGAAUGCACCAAAAGAACUUAUAAGAGAGGCAUUUUGGAUUACAAGCUUAAGACAAUGAAUGAAAAGAAGACUAAAAAUCAAGGAAAAUGCCAAAGGAAGACGUAGGAAGGGCAGGGGGGAAUGGAUACUCCAGAGUAGAAUGAAAUAAUGUUCCAAAUCAAGGAAAAUUUCCGAAGAAGAAAAUUGUAGUAAGAGAGGAGAACAGAUACUCAAUUUAAAGCGAGUAAACAAAAUUCCCAUACUCGAACAGAGCCAACUUUGGGAGGAAUGUAUGUUAAUGUAUUUGAUAUUUGAUAAGUCGGUCCAAUUUUCCGGUACUGAAAGUCUAAGACAAAGGGGUUGUUUUACCUGCAAGGUGAGCCACAGAAUUCCACCUUCCUUCACCAUGAACUCUCACAUAUUCCAUAAGCAGCCUAUCUUCUUCAGCAGUCCAAGGCCCUUUUCUCCAUCCUUCUGCUGCUACUUUGCCCCAACCAAAAUGCUCAUCCAUCAUCAUCAUCAUCAUCCAGCUCUGCCUUUCAAAUUUAUGCUUCUGAAUAUUAUGCAAAGAAUCUUUGAUGUUCUCUCUCUCUUACAGAUUUCUAUGGCAUAUUGGGUUAAUGUUUGUUCCAUAUUUAUAUAGUCACUCAUCAUUUGAGAGUUUUUCUGAUCCUUUUUACUGUUCAAGUUAUUGUGAUCAUCAUCAUCUUUGAAACAAGAUUAUAAAAUGGCAUGUAUGUCCUCACCAAUAUUUUAUUAUGUAUUGCUCUUUUCCCUUUUUUUGGAACUCCUUUUUGGGACUGUCUAAUCUUAUUCUUCAUAUUAAAAAAAUGACCCAUUUGAUUAUUUUAACUAGUUUUCCAUCUUGCUUUUAGAAAAAUAUUAUAAAGUGAUGAGCUUGUAGUUGUCUAGAUUAUAUGUAGAUUCUCUCCAAAUUUUAAACUAGAAAUGAGUUCUUUGGCCUUUUAAAUAGACUGAGAUUGCAUAUCUUUAUCAAAUCACAGUAUGAUUUUUCAAGAUGAGAAAAUGGUUCAGUGCAGGUUGUUGUUUCCAGAUCAACCUUUGGCUUGACAUGAUUCUAUAAGAGCGUUUUUCUUUUUAUCAUAUGCAAAUGGGAGAAUUUAACGUACACCAAUCGUAUAACUUAAUGUCAAUUAAAUUAAGAGUUGUUCGAGUGUUACAAAAUAUAAUGCUAUUACUAAUAUAUUUACACGGUGUUUAGCCCAACGACAUCAUAGUUGGUGAUAGAUAAUUUAGCUACUUCAAAUAAUGUUUAUUAUUGAAGUUUGCACGUUUAUCAGAGAAUUUUGUCUCCCUUUUUCUUAUUCUCCCUCAAAUAUUUUCUAAUACUUGAUUAAACAAUUCUACACGUGGAACGUAUACUUUUUACUUCCAAACUUUAGAAGGAACUCAAUUCAAUGUUUAAAACAACUAUAAAACAUUUUGCUACAAAAAUAAUUUUAUUUUAUGAUGCGUUGAAAGUAUUGUUCACAUAUUUACGAUGACAAAGAAAAAUAGUUUAAUUUGGUCAAGACUCAUCACAGCUUUCGUUAGCUUAGAUGCUAACUUAGGUUAUACCAACAUUAUAUGCUUCAAAUUCUAGACAUUUUUCUUUUUAUUAGUAUCUCGUUUUUGUAUUCUACUCUUGUAUUUACGUGACAUAAGCUAUUUCAUGUCAUUUCUCAUUCUUAAACAUCAAGAUAUUUAUUUGUUCCAAAAAAACCACAUCCAAAAUACCAUAUGAAGAAUUGAUGACAGUAAUACACAUGAAGGAGAUGACAAACCUUGGUGAUGCCAAAGUAUUAGGUGACAUGAAAACUCCAAUAAUAAUUCUUAUAGUAAUCAAAAUGAAAAGAAACUAUUUUUAAUAAAAAAGGGGAAAAACAUUCUUAGGGCCACGUAAACCCCUCUCCUUAAUAAAAAUAAAAUUUGAGUAACUAAAAAAGAAUUGUGGGAGUGGAUUAACUUUCUUAUAUGAAAAUUACUGGAUGUCCAAUGGGAUUUUGCCACCUGUUUGCUUAAGAAGAGAUGACAUGUACAAUGCCUAUUAUGUCUUCUUUUAAAUACAAUAUUUUUAUGCCAUUUUGAGACUUUAAAAUGAAGUCAUUUGGACACUUGCCUCUCUCUUAUUUCACUAUGUGACAGAAUGUCUUGCAUGCACUUUUCCCAUUAACAUUAUAUUUAUUUUUCAAAAUAGAAUUAUCACCACUAUUCUAUCAACCUCUAAUACUGUCUAUUAUUAUCUAUUUGUGAUGGUCACUUUAAACACUAAUGUUUUGUUAUAUUUAUAAAAGCAUAUAAACAACUUCGUUAUUCUUUUAUUUCAUAAAAUUAUAUCGACAAGGAUAAUCAAAAGUGAGAAUACUCGCAUUCACUCUACAUAACUCUACUUCAUUUGUUAAUUAUUAGACUAGGUUUCUAGAGAUUCUAGUGUACCAUACGUCUCAAAAUAUCUCACACCAAAAUCAAAAUCCUAAUCUUCAAGGGGUCUCUUAGCUUUGAAUAAAAAAAAAAAGGGUUAUUUCUUCACUAAAAAAAGUAAUGGAAAGAAAUAAAUAAAAUAGUAUUCCAAGUGAUUUCACCUUUGGAGUUUGCUUAAAAAUCGUCUUCUAGCAAACGUGUUAUGCACAAAAUCAUUACUAUAUGGAAUUUCACCAACCAUAUCUAUUUUAAUAUUUAUAUGCCCUAGAUUUCCUCCAUUAACAUAAAUGUUUGAUUAAUUAAAUUAGACACUAUAUUUAAGAAAACCUUGUUUGAUUAUGUUAUGAUCUGCAAACACUUUAUGAACACCAAUACUCAAAAAGGGUAUAUGGAGAAACUAAAAACAAAAAUAAUUACAUAUUUUGUUUUGGAUUUUAAAGGUUGCUAUACUAAGUCAACAAAAGAAAAUAUAAAUAUGAGAUCACGUGUGUUAAAUAAAAUUUUCUAAAGAUUAAAAUGAUGGUAGUCAAAUAAUCAUAACUCAAAUGGUAUUAAUUAAAGAUGGAAAUAUCACAAUAUAUCGGUCCUAUGUUGUAUUUAAUCUUCAUUUUGUAUGAUAUAAACUUUAUUUAUGAAAGAUUUAGUCCACAAUCAUUUUUAUUGUCUUCACGAGAUCAUAUUUGAAUUUUAAUUAUUAAUUUAUAUCUUCACUUUAUUAUUUAAACAAAUUUGUUCUAAAAUUUCACUAUAUUUUUAUAAAUUUCCAUGAUAUUCAUGAUUUUUCUUGAAAAAUCCAUCGAUGUAUUGAUAGCGUUGAGUUAUCAAUAUUUACACCAAUAACGAAAUUUCAACUCUUGGUAUUAAUAAAGCAUGUAUGGUCAAUUUAUCUACUAAGCUACCAUUGUUUUGAAAGAACUAGUAUUUACUAAGUUAGUUUUCAAAUAUUCUUUUGCAAAUUGCAAUAACUGACGAACAAAAAUUUAGAAAAAAAAGUAAUUCAUAGCAUUUUUUUUUUUUUUAUAUAUAUUGCAAACAUGAUAAAUAAUUAGAUAUAUCAAAUGGUUGUCUUAAGAGAACUAUCCACUUUUAAAUUUUAUACUUUUGCAAAUUAGAAAAUGUAGUGACAUGUACGUUAUUAUUAUAAAUUUUUUGCUACUUUUGCAAACACCGUUCUUUUUCGUUUCUAAAAUACAAUUGAGAUACGUAGUUUGAACCAUAAACAUUAUGAUUACUAGCACAUUCCAACUGUGUUAUGGUCGUUUUGGUAAGUUGUUCAAGUUUAGUUGUUAUAUGUUUUUUUAAAGCACAACUAGGACUUGGAGGAUUCAAACCACAUACUUUAUACCACAAAGACACUUGUAUGUCAACUGAGCUUUGUUUUGGAAAGUUAUUAUUUGUUAGAGAAAUUGAGAAUACCCUACUCAUUCCUUGUAGGGAGAACGACGUGAUAUAUGCUUUCAAUAUCAAAGUACCCGAUAAAUUAUGUUCAUAUGUGUGUGUAUAUAUAUAUAUAUGUUUGAGUAACUGAUUGUGAUUGUGAUUGUGAGGGUAGAGAUAAACCCUUUAACAUAGCAAUUAAUUGAAAAUUAAACUACAAAACAACUUUUGUGUUGACAGCUAUGUUCAUAUGUUUUUAAGUAUAUUUGUAAUUUAGCAAACUCAUCCAAAGAUAUGGAAUAUAAUAAACACAUAGUUGAACAAAUUGACCAUUUCAUCAUCUCUUUUUAGAAAAUUACAAAAUAUAAAUUUAUAAAUAUUAUAUUUGCAUAGAAGGAUUAUUAUGAUUGAUCAUACUUUUAGUACGGACAAGGGAAGAACAAAGGGAUCUGCUCUAAUAAAAGAAUAUAAAAGAACUUAGCAUAAAACUUGAAGUUGAUUAACAGCUAAGCAUUGGCUUUAUGCAUAAUUAAUUAAAAAGAAGAUGUCCUACAAUUCUUUUCACCAUAUUUUAUUAACAUAUAAUAAUUAACUUUUGUAUUAAUUAAAUUGUGUACUCCUUCUAGAUCAAUUCUGAUUAGGAUUGAAAUUAUGAGAUAUUGUGGGUUUAAAUCAACCUUAAAUUUUAGUAUAUAAAAUAACAAUCAUAAAAAGAUUCUCUUUUGAUUUUGUUGCUUUGAUCUCCUUCAAAUGGAUAUGGUGUUCAUUUGGAUUUAACUUAAUGAGUUUCUAUCAACAAUCAUAUACUACAAAGAUUUAAUUCUUCAAUUUUAAAGUAAUUUUAGUUUCAGUUUAGUUUAUUAUUAUUAGUUAGGUAGAAUCUGACUAAUCAUAUAUAUAUAUUUUGUUGUUUAUAUAUAUUCAUUAUGUGACCCUGAUGAGUUAGUGUAUUUUCUAUUUGAUUCUCUUUGUUAUAGUAUUUUCAGAAGAAGUAAAUUAAAAGAAAAAAUAAGAAAGUGGAGAAAAAUUUAAACCAAACUAAAAUUAAAUCCAAACGUGUAAAUACUUAUCAGACUAAAUUAAAGCUUUUAAAACUAUUAAAUUCAAAUUAAGACGAUGAAAGCUUUGUAAACACUCAUGACAAUCCAUUUAUGGAUAAGAAACAAUAACUUAUUCAUUACAAAGACAAAGAAAAAAUCAAUGUGAUAUGAAAUAACAUAUUUUUUAAAAAAAAAGAAUUGAACGUUUAAAAAUGUGCUCCAAAUACACAUAUAAUAUUUGCUAGGAUUUUUAGGAUGAAUUAAUUUUUAUUUUAUUCCAAAUUAAAUGAAAUGAAAAUAGCUAAAAAUCACUAAUUAGAAAUAUCCUACUUUAAUAUACUUAUACAAAUUUUGAUAUUUACAGUUUUAAAAUUUUAAUUGAUAUAACCCUACAAACUUCAAAGUGUAAAUUGAUUUCAUUUGAGCUUCAAUCCACAAGAAGAUUAAUACACACACUUGUUUGAUAUUGAAAUAAGGCAUAUAUAUAUAUAUAUGUUACAAUCAAAGCACUUUUGAUUAAUUAAGGACCAAAUAAUGUGUAUAAAUAUAAUUAAUAUUUAAAGUUAGGCUUAUAACAUAAAUCACAUGGGGUGGCCCAAUUGGAGAUUAUUGGAAGACUUUUCUAAUGGAGUUGACCAUUGCUUUCAAGGAGGGUUAAAAGUUAUGAAAAAUAUCAUCAUAAAACAUUGCAUCUAGUUAUCUUUCAUAUAUAUAUUAAACUAAGAUGAUUUGUUGUAAAAGAAAAAAAAAUACCCUAAAGAUGAUUUCUCUCUAUGUCCUUUUAGGGCAAGCACCCUUUUGUUUUAGUUAUAAUUAGUAUUUCAUAGGUUGAGCUUGUUUUGUGUCAUUUUUGCAAAAUAAAUUUGGACUCCGAGCCUAACCUUUUAAACUUAUUUUGUUAAAUGUACGAAUUUGAACAACGAAUUUGAACCUUCCACUUCAAAAAUAUUUAUACGUUUUAAUUAAUCACUUGAAUCAUAUACUUGGUUACGUCGGUGUAUAUGAUUAUUUGUCGAUCAUUGUUAAGCUAAAGUCACUUUGCUCACUUGAUUGAACAAUCUUAUAAACUUUUAGCAUUAUUAUAAUUUUGUGUUCGAUUAAAAAUUAAAUGCCUUUUAGGCAAAGGAAAAAGAAGGUUUAUAAACUUCUAGAUUUUUAGUCAAUUUUUAAUAAUCAUUUAGAUUAGGGUUUAUCCUAAUGCUGAAAAACACACGCUUUAGGGGUAGGCAGAGUACAUAUAUGAUAUCAUGAUAUUUCCUUCUCUAUCUAUACAUAAUCAAAUCAUCUUUUUUCCUUAUUAUUUAAUUUUAAUAUCAUGUCAUCACCCACUUGUUAUUCAAAACAUUUUACCCCUAAGUUUUUAUUUUUGGGUUAAAUAUCAUCAUUUUCUACAAUUUGUAGAUCAAUAUUUUCAAAGUUUUAAAUUUGUUUUUUUAAAGCAUUAAUAUAUUAUUAAAAGUGAUUUUUUUUAAUUUAGUAAAACAUUUGAGUUAUACUCACGUUGCAAAAUAAUUAACUUUUCUUUUUUUUUUUUAAUUUUUUUAUCUUGAGAAUAAAUAUUAAAGAAUUUUGCUAAAUUCGAGUAAUUGAAAGUUGUAAUUUUGCUAAAAGAAAGUGAUUUGAUGCAAUUUAAAAAUAAAUUAGCCAAACCACACUUAGGUUUACUCCUUUGACCUCUCCAAGGGACAUUCUUCUAUUUAUUCUUUUAUUUUCUCUUUUUCUCAAUUAACUUAUUCUAUUGAUUUGUACGGAUAAGAUUUUAAAUUAAUUUGGGCGGUUUCCUUUCAAUAUUAAUUUUGAAGAUGGGGUUUCUUAAAAUAUAUAUAUAUAAAAAAAAAAAUUGAGAAACUAUUAGUAUUUAUAUUUAACAAAAUUUGGGUAAAUAUUUUAUCAAACCUUUUAUUUUUGCCAAUUAUUAUAGAAAAAUUUCGUAAGACCUAAUUUAACAAAGAAUUGUUCUAAGUUAAGCAUGCUUAACUUUGUUGUUUCUAUGAUUAAGUUACCAAAAAAUCUACACUUUGUUGGUGUAUAGAUAGUAACUUUCAAUUUUUUAAAACAUUUUUUAACCUUACUUUCACAUCCUCACGUUCAUUUCAUUCAAAUAUGAUAUCAAUUUAUUCAUGUCCUACUUCUAAACUUGAACCAUUACAUAAAUCAUUCUCAAUUCUAUAUAUAAUGAAGUUUUAAAAUAAAAAGGUGUUAAAUAAGUGUUUGAAGCUUUAUUUUUGUCUCAAUUUGACAUUUUAUAAAAUUUAUAGGUGUAAUUGACACAAAAUUGAAAGAAUAUGUUCAAAAGAUUAAAAUAUAUGUGUGCAUUAUGGAAAAUUUUAUUUUUGUGUAGUUUACCCAACUAUAUGACAAAUUUUUAAUUCAUUUUUGGAAAGAUCUUUAUUCAUUUUCCUAUAUUUAAAAAUAAUUGUAUGUAUAAUUCUUUUUUGUGUAACGCAUUCACAUCUUGGGAUGCAUCAAAAGAUUACUUAAUAAAAAAAUUUAAAACUUCUUAGUUAUUUCUAAAUAUUAAUACCCAAUUUAAGUGAGUAUAAAACAUCAUCCUAAAAUACUCUUAGAAGUAAAGUUGAACUUUCAUUUCAAAUAUGAAAAUUGUGGUGUGACACUUACGUUACAACUUAGAUGACAUAAGUUAAAGAAUAUCAUAAGAUCAUGCAUAAUGUACUUUUAGUCCCUUAAGUUUUGGUUUGUAUUUGUGGUUUCAAAAAAAAUAUUUUAGUGCUCAAGUUUCUAAAAUGAUUCUUGAUGGUCUUUCAUUCAACUUGGAAUGAUGAGUAUAUAUAUCGUUAUAUUUUGACGGAGAUGGUUUAACAUAUUAUUUAUUUGAUGACGUGGAGAAUAAACUCAAAAUGUAAAGCUUUUGUGAGAUUUGAUAUAUUGAAAUCUUUUCUUCUUCUUCUCCCAUCAUUUCUUUCUGCUGCUCAUUAUUCGACCUGCAACUUUGAGUGUAGUUGCUUGGUUGUCGAAUUGCUACUAGUCAAAGUCACUCUCUCAUCUUCUUCUUAUCACUCUCAAUUUCCUUGACAGUCACUAAUCUUGACACCAAAUUCAAACUAAAUUGAGCAAUCUAACUUUAUUUGAUUAAUUUUCCAUCCAUCGGAGGCUUCUAUAACCUAAUCACCCUCUUUUCUUUCAAAAAUUAAAAUUUCAUACACCACAUAUCCCAAAACUUUCACAUUCCUCACAAAAUAAGAACUUCAAAACCAUUCAUCAAAAUAAAAUAUAUUUACACAUUGGUUAUCAUCAACCUCAAUCCAUAAAUUUUAUAUAGGGGACACCGAACACUAUAUAAUAAACAUACUAAAAAGUGUUUAAAAAAUAUUUCGACGUUUUGCCAAUACUUUAAUAACAUUAACUACAUUUGUUACAAUAAAGAAAAUACCAUCAAUUUUUACAUGAUUUUUUGUUAUGUAAAUGCAAAAUUUAAGAUUUAAACUCUUAACUCGAUGGUUAUGGUGUAGUUGCACUACACCUAAACUACACCUAAACCAAACUUUGUUUAAAAUAAAAUAUUAUUUAAUAAUAUUAUAAUCGGGCUCUUCAAAAUUAAUAUUAAAAUAAGAAAUAUGAUAGUGUGAGGGUACGUGUUCCGUUGACCUCUUAAUAAAUCCACUCCUUGCUGUCAUAUUAAAUAUUGGAUUAAUUGUACAAAAAACAAAUUUAGUCUAGCAUGGAUUGAUACAACCUACCAUUUUAAAAGUGAAAGUUCAAAUUGUCCGUAGUCCGAAAAAGAAUAUCGAGUUAAUUUUUGUAGAACAAUUUAAAAGUUGAGAAAGAGGAUGUAAGUUUCUUAAUUUAAGAAAUAGAAGUGAAAGAUCCAUGAAAGCUUUGUAAAGUCUAACAUUUGACUGUUUAGUCUAAUUAAUAAAAUAGAUAUUUGAAAAUAUAUAUAUAUAUAUAUAUAUAUAUAUAUAUAUAUAUAUAUAUAUAUAUAUAUAUAUAUAUAUAUAUAUAUAUAUAUGACUUUUAUGUGAUCGUCGAGAAAAGUGGACACGUGUUUUAGGUGAGUCAGCGGUCAACCAGUCUAGGUUGAUUAUCAACACGGAAUUUUAGUCCAAAGAUAGAGUAAUUUUAGAAUCUUAGGUUAAGAAAAUUCGUACGCACACAACUUAUUCACUUUAUUUUAUACACUUUAUUUAUUUAUUUAUUUAUAUAUUUUUUUUUUGUAACAUCAAAAAGUUAAAAUUUUAAUUAAUUUUCUUAGACGUAAAAAAUCCAAAACACUUUACCAUUUGUGUAACAAAACAAAAAAAGAAAAAGAAAAAACCCAUGAAAGUAUUCUUGUAAAUUUUGAUAUGUACCCUUCAAUAUUGGGACACGAUUCAACAUUUCUAUUUCUUUUUCUUCUUGUUGCGAUUUCUUCAUCAUCUCUUCAAAAUGUUCUUUCUUCUAUUUAAAUUUUAUAUUUCAACUUUAUCACUUUUCACAAGAUGCUUUGAAGCUAUUUCACGAUUAUUUCAAUACUCUUCUUCAUAUUCGAGAAUAUCAAGAUUAUUUAAACAUCAUUUUAAAUUAUCAAUACGAUUGUUUACCAUGGUCAGUACAAUCAUUAGAUUUGAAGAUUUUUACAAUCACUUACAUUGGAUUACGUGAUCUCUUACUAUAACUAACACGAUCGCUUACCACAAUCAACAUGAUCGUUCACUAUAAUCAAUACGAUCGUUUGCCAUGAUAAACAUGAUCGUUAACUAUGGUCAACACAGUCGUUUAAAAUAUCUUAUUUCAUUACACCAUCAUCUAUCCUUGUAAGGUAUCUUAAAUGAUCGUGUAGUUAUGGUAAACGAUCAUGUAUAUGGAUCUGACGAUCGUUUACCAAUAUCAAAACGAUCUUGGUACAAGAUCGUGUACCAAGAGAUCAUUAAGAUUUUGUAUAAGAUCGUGUACCAAGAUUGUUUAGAUUUAGUACAAGAUCAUAUACUAAGAUCGUUUACCAAGAUCUGGACGUGAAUCGUGUAUCAAUAUUUGAACAAUCAUAUACCAAGCUUUUUGCGCACGUGUGUGACCGAUUAAUUGUGAGGUAUUUUUGUUAUUUCACGUUGUGGGCUGAUUUUUUUCUAUUUUCAAAAUUGUUUUAUACGGUUUGAAUAUUUUGACAUUUUGUUCUAGUUUUUGCAAAACCCCAGUUAUUUAAGGUUUAAGAUUAAAUUAGGAUAAAAUAUUAAUUAAUUUGAAUUUGGAAGUUCAAGGGAGAAGUGAGAUUCGAUCGAAAUUGAGUUGUAUAUAUCUAAUGUAAAAAAAUGUGGAAAAUUGAUGGAAAAAGUAAUGAUAUAUAUACAAGUAAAAAAUUUAUAAUAAUAAGAUAUAUGUCACUACACUUUUUAAAUUGCAAAAGUAACAAAUUUAAAAGUUGAUAACCUGCUGAGAGCCCUCUCAUAACCAUUUGAUAGUUAUCUAAUAGUCGCCUGAUAUCACUAAUUAUCUGUCAUAUUUUUCAUAUUCGCAAUAUGCAAAAUAAAUAUGUCAUGGGUUAUUUUUUUCUAAAUGUUUUUGUCAUCGGUUGCAAUUUUUCUAUAAUUAAUAGUGAAAAAAAUUGUAUUUAAUGAGGAGAGAGAAAGUUAAAUAUAUAAUGUUUAUAUAUUUAUUUAUGUAGAAAAUAAGAACAUUUAACAAAAUAUUUACACUCCAUAAAAAAAUUAAUUAUAAUAGAUUUUAUCUUUUAGUAAUUUUGUUCUACAAAGUGUAAAUAGUUUGUCUUUUUUUUUUUUUGAAAAAUACUCCCUUUUAUUUUGGAAAAGAGAAAUUAUUAUUUGAAAGAUGAUUAUUAGGGUUUUGAGGUAUUAAAUAGCCCUCAUUUUAUGUCUAUGUUAGCUUAAAAAACAAAAAAAAAAAAUUAAUUGGCACUUGCAAAAAUAACAAAAAAAUAUUAUAUGAUAAAUAAGACUCAUGUCAUUACGUUUUCUAAAUUGCAAAACUAACAAAUUUAAAAGUCGAUAGCCCUCUAAUAGGUCUCUGAUAAUCAUUCGAUGGUCAUCUAAUAGUCGUCUGAUAUCACUAAUUACUUGUCAUAUUUUUCAUAUUCGCAAUAUGCAAAAAAGAUGUUUCAUAUGCUGUUUUUGUCUAAAUAUUUUUGUCAUCUAAUGCAAUUUUUCAAAUUAAUUUUGAAAUUUCAAUCUUCUUUUUCCUUCUUUCUUCUUCUCAAGUCUUGCCUCCCUUUGGUAAUUUUAUGUCGACUAAUGCUCCUCUUCACCGGUGUCAUCCGCCAACUUUGCCAUUGACCUGAGUAAGAAUGAAUAUGAAUUGAGAUAGUUUAAAAUGCAUUGACUCAAUGAUUGUUACAGAUUAUGUUUUAUUAUGGAAAAUUCAUGAAGCAUGAUGGUGUUGGGAUUUAUGUCAUAAAACUCGUAGAUUGUAAAUAUAAUAUAUCCGUUAUUAAUAAAAUGUUAUUAUUGUAAUAGUUGUUAUUGAUUAUAUUAUUAGUUUUGUCUUAAAAACUCAAAUACAAUAAACUAACAUUCUAAGCUGUUUAAUGAGUCUUGAAUAGUAUGUAGAGACAUACAUGAAUCAAUAUUCGAGAUCAACUUAAAGGGUCUAUAGUACAGGGAUAAGGUUGGGUACCUUAUCCUAGUAACAUUAUGGAUAGUAGAAUUGAUGAAACUUGCUAAAAUGCGUUGAAAUUACUUCACAUAGCUAUAAUUUGGCUCAAGAGUGUGGUAAAUGUUUGAGCUGAGGAAAAUGUACAAAUAUGUAAUUAAAUAAGUAGAAGGAUUGUGUGAGAUGAUCAUGUGUAUACGAGAUGCAUACAUGCAAUAUGAAUUGCACUAAAAGAAUUGAAAUGCAAUGUAUUCCAUGAGAGUUAUGAUAAAUGAUUUAGAAAGGAAAGCCUUCGUAUGAUUUAUGAUACUGAAUGAUGAAUUGAAAUAAUUUGGAUUUAAAAUCAAUCUCUUGAUGACAGUAAAUGCUAUUUACACUGCUUGAUUUGGGUAAUUUUGACGAGUAAAAGGUGACGGAAACACUAGACAUUUUCAUCUAACAUUUCAGUAUUUUGUUUUAUAAUAAUUUUAGUGUUAUGAUAGUAUGUGUUUGAAGGAAGAGUUAUUAUUGGUAUUGUUAUGAUAAUAUGUAUUUGGGGGAAAUGUUAUGAUUGUAGUAUUAUUAUAACAUGUGUUUGAGGGAAGAGUUGUGAGCGUAGUAUUAUGAUAAUAUAGGUUUGAGGAAAGGAUUAUCUUAAUGGAUUUGUGAUAUUUUUUUGCUAAAAUAAACAAUAUUAAUAUAUGUAUUUAUAGUAAAUCAUAUAAUUUUUUUAAAUAAACAAUAUUAAUAUAUGUAAUUAUAAUAAACCAUAUUAUGAAAUGAACUUGUGAUAUUUUUUUGCUAAAAUAAACAAUAUUAAUAUAUGUAUUUAUAGUAAAUCAUAUAAUUUUUUUAAAUAAACAAUAUUAAUAUAUGUAAUUAUAAUAAACCAUAUUAUGAAAUGAACGCAUAUUAGUGUCAUUAGUAGUAACUAAGUAGAGAUUCAAAUUCGUGUUCGUCCAUUAGAAAUUCUAGAUUGACACCUUGUUAGAAAGGAAAAUACUUAUGAAAGCGUUAAAAACGAAAUUGGUUAACCUAAUCACAUACUUUGAAUUUUGGUUUAUGGGUCUUGAAAAUUUAUUCAAAUCAUAAUUUUCCUAUGUAAAUUUUCCGAAGCCUUCUUGCAAAAAAGAUCGUAAUAAAAAUACAAUAUUGUUAGGUGGGUCAUUUAUGGUUCCCUAUAAUUCCUUAUGAUACGAGAAGUUUGUAAAACUAAUUGUCUAUGUGAGAACUUGUGAAAGUAUUUUCUUAUACGUCAUACUAUUGAACUUGUUACACAUUUCUAUAACCUAUAUCACACUAAUGUAUGUGUAAUAUAAUUUUUUUUCUUAUAAAGUUUUUGUAUUGCACCAACCUAUUGUAUGUUUAAGUCUCUUAAACCUAUAUUGACGUUUUAUAUUUUUAUUGAUUAAAAACCCUUACUUUUUUUUUUUAAAAAAUUAUGAUUGUACAUUAAAUUCGUGACGAAAUCGAAAAAUUGUUCGGAUUUUUCAAAUAUGACAUUUACAAAAAAUUGAAGAGUUGAGUUUAGAGACAAUAUAUGGUAUGAAAACAUUGCUAUUUUGUGAAAUACAUUUUUAGAAUUUUUCGCACAAGUAAAGUUGCUUAUGAAAUUGAAAUACGAAAAUAAUAAAAUUGGCAAUUUGUAUCUAGUAGUAAUUUACCUCAUACUUAUGCGAUGUAAAAAAAAAAACAUUCGACCAUAAAAAAUGAAAAAUAUUCAUUAUAGUACUAAACGAUAAUUAGAAAAACAAAAAAAAACCUUUAAAAUCGUGGCUGAAUUGUUAGGAACAUAUUACAACAAUGAAUAAAAAGAAAAAGUAUAUGUGCACAACUUUAUGAAAUUACACUUUUAAAACCGUAGUACCUUGUGAAUGGUUGUUUAACUGGUGCAACCUAAAAAUAUUAAUGACAUAAAUUAGAAAGGAUUCUAGGAACACGAUAUAUGCCCUUAAAAAUUCAUAAGAUUAAAUAUAAGCAUAGAAAAGUAAUGUAAGGGAAAAGAAGUAGUGUCAGAGUAAAGAAAUUCGUGCAAAAGCAUUUACAAAGAAUCAGUGUUGCACUCAAAUUUUGUAGUCGAACCAAUGUCAUCAAAAUUAAAGGCAGAACAAGCAAAUACACUAUCGUGUGCAUGGAAAAUUUCUUCAUCAUACACAUGAUUUAAAAGAAUAACAAAAUGUUGAAGCAUAAGCAUAUAAACUAAAUAGGGAUAGAAGUGUAUGGAAACAAUAUUCUACCAAUUCAUAAAACGGACAAUGAACAUGAAACUAUGGACCUAAGAUGAGGUGUGUGAAAAAAUAAGAAAUCAGAACAAAGAGAGGGAGUACGAGGAAAAAUAAUAAAUCAAAACAAAAAGAGGCUAUUUAAAAGAACAUGUCAUUUUUUUGUAUUUUUCAUUGUGGGCUUGUAAGCUUUUUUCUUUUUCAAAAUUGUUUUAUACCAUGUAAAUAUUUUGUCGCUUUGUAAUAUUCUUUUAAAAACCCCUAAAAAUAACCCAUAUUUAUUCAUAUGCUUUUUAAAAGAAAUUACAACUUAACAUUUAUAAUAUAUUAUUGAUGAUUUGAAUAGAAACUUCUCAACAGAUUUCAAAAAGAAAUAAAAUUUCUCUAGAAAGAAUUUUUAAUUAUUUGAUUUGUCUUAGCUUGCAAAUGAAACAUAAAGCAAAUAAAGUUGCAUCAAUUUAUAUAUAAAUGGACUAGUUAUAUCAUUCAACUUUUCUAGGGUGGUUCAUUUCACUUGGUCAUGUAAAAAAAAUUAUAUCAUCUGGUGUCAAAAGGAUAACGAAGAACUUAAGGUCUUAAAGAACCAUAAUUUUGAGAAAUAAGCAGUUGUAUCUUUGCUAGUUAAUAUAGAUUACCUCUUGCCGUAUCUUUAGUAAUUUUGUUACAUAAAAAUAAUAUUUCUCCAAAGAUAUUGAAUGAGAAUUAAACUCAAUUAUAUUUAAUUUGAGAAUUAGCUCACGAUAAUUUAUUUUAUUCUAAUAGAUCUAGUUAAUUAUGAAGAUGCAUGUUAUUUUAUCUAAACCAUAUGAGUUAUAUCUUACCCAAGCUACUUAGUACAUAUAGAAGAUUUUUUACAUGGUUGACAACUUAUGAAGUAGAUCAAAACGACUAUUUUAAAUCAUGCUAAAAUAUUGAUGAUGUACAAGACUAACCAUUAGUGUUCUUAUAUGAAGACAAGGCAAACAAAAUUGUUUAGAAGACAACUUUAUUUGCUAACUUCAAUUAUUUUCUUGUUUUUUCUUUAAAUUUUUGUUUCAUCAUUUUUAACAUUUAGGUGUGGAGAAUAAAUUAAUUAACUAUAACUACAAUUAAUUGGCUGAAUUUUGUUGUCUCUAACGUCUUAGCUUUCUUGCCAGCUUCCAUUACAGUAAUAAACUCUAUCUUCUUUUUUGUUAACUAAUGAUUAUUAACGAAUGAAUAGGAAAUGUUUAGUGUCAUUGGAAGUGAUGAAAAAAGUGAUUGUAACCCACCAAAAAUGGAGAAGGGUUACAACCAUGAAAACAAGUCUGAUUAUCCAUGUCAUGCUCUUGCCCUAACAAAGUGACUUGGCUCCAUUCAAACUAGCAGCAUAAGAAUGGAUAGUAACAUUGUAGUUUAGUUAAUUAAUUAGUUAUAGUUAGUUCAAUCAAUCAAUUAAUUAUAAUAGACUAAAACAAAUAUAAUUAUAAUUAGUUUUUGGUCAACUAAUUGUAGUCUAGUACUCGAUGAAUUAAAUUUUCUAUUUCAGUUAAUUCAAUAUAUUAUGGUAACCACAUCCCACUUUUAGUCUACAAUUAUAAAAGUUUCUACUUUAUAUUUGAAUUAGUCAUGGGUGAACAAUAAAUUUUGGUCAAUUAAAUUUUAUUGCGUCAUCACGACAAAAUUGCGACGAUUAUAAUUUGAUUGAAUUUGGGUACUCAAGUUUUCUCAUAUCUAAUUCAAUUCAAGCUCAGGAUGAAAAAUUGAGCCAAAACAAGGAUAAUGAGUCGAAAUCCAACCAUUAAAUGGACUCAAGCCCACAAGUAAAUGGAUCCAAGUCCAAGUUCAACAAUUAGAUAAGUCCAAACUCAACAAGAAAAUGGGUCCAAGUCCAAGCCCAUGAAAUUUCUCUAUAAAUAGAGACAUUUGUCAUUCAUUCGAGGGAUCUUUUAGUUGAAAGAAGAACUGAAGUUCUGAAGUACUGAAGCUUGGGAGUUUUUAUCAACCUCAAGAUCAACAGCUUCCAUCCUGAAGACCAAAGAUCGCUUCCAUCCUGAAGACCAAAGAUCAAAAAGUUCUAAGUUUACCUCAAGAUCAACAGCUUCCAGCUUCCAUCCUGAAGACCAAGGAUCAAAAAGUUCUAAGUUUUUUUUAACUUGUAUUCGAGAGAAAGCAUCAAAUAAAUAAAUACUAGAGAUUGUAUUUACAAUAUUCAUUAAUAUACAUAGUUUAAUUCUACGAAUUAUAUUUCUUUCGAAAUUUCGUGUGUAUAAUUAUCUCAUUAAUUAAUCAUUUUAACUCUUAUAUUAUUAAAAAUUAAGUAAUCAAACUAACGUAAGCAAAAUAAAUUCAAAACAAUAAUAUGAAACAUGCUACGAAAAAAAAUACAUAGAUAAUAUACAUUAUAUGUAGAAGGUAAAGUAUUACCCUGAUUCAAAAGUCAAGUUAAGAAAAGUAGUGAAAAAAGAGGUAAGAAUUACAUAAUAAAUGGUACAUGCAUGGAGAAUAUACAUUAUAUAUACAAUGUAUCCAUUGUACUUGUAACAAUCCAAAGGAGACCUAUACGUUCAAGUAUAAGAACUUGAGUUUGAUCAAGUUGAUCAUCAUGUGGAAGAAGUGUCUCUGUGACAGUCACAAAAUGAAGUUAGCUAUGUUUGUCCAAUGAUGGUGAUGUCAACCUUUGGUACGAGCUAUUACAGUUCAGGAGUUGAUCAAUCAUCACACUUCAAAUAAAAAUAUCACACUUUAGAGGCCGGUCUAUAAUUGCCAAACUUUGGAACAAAGUAUUAUGAUUUAGAGACCAAUCAUCUUCAUAUAUGAAUCGACAUAGGCGCAGUCUAGAGAGCAUAACGAGUAUCAAUACUAUGAUGCGCCUGUAGAAAUACUUGAACAACUCUGAUCACAACAACCAAAGAAUCAUGAGGGACUAGAGCAUCAUAAACUUUCGAGUUGGCAACAACAGCCAACUCAAAAUCGAUGACGUUUGGAUUGUGAGACACAUUAGUUUUUGAAUGAAUGAAAAUUAUUUACAUUAUCAUAAUGAUAUAAACAUUCUAAUUUACAUUUAAUUAUUUUUCUAAGUAUAAAUAACUACUAUAAAGUAAAAACGUAAAAUUGCAUAAGAAAUUAAUCAAAUAUAAACUAGAUAAAUUACCACGGUAAAUUUUCAUUUCAUAUUAAUAUAAAUGAAAUCAACUAUACAAUUAAAUUUUCACCUAAACGGAUAGUUAAUUGUAAAUUUAAAAACGGAUUACAAAAUUCCCAUAGUAAUUUAGAACUAAAUUGAAAAAGAAAAGAAAUUAAGAACUUCCAUAUUAAUAUGAAGAAAUUAUAAUAUUGAUUUUUUCAAAAAUCAAUAAAUUGAGUACUAAUUUUUUUUUUUAAAAAAAAAACUAAUAUGAAACGAUUUUAAAAAAAGAAAAAAUGGGACGAGUGUUCUUAAUAUAAAAAUUUAAAAAACAAUAUUUGAGUAAUUAGUUUAAUGAACAACAAUAUUUAACCAAAUUUUCGGGUUUGGGUUUUGGGUAACGAAAUAUUUCGUACUUUUAGCAAUUUACCCAUCCUCUUUUUAAUUUUCUGCCCUAAUUUUCGUGCUGUGGAGUUGGGUUGUUUCCAUCAAAGUCCAAAACGAGGUUGAAGAUGACUGCGCCGGAUACUGAACCGGUAGUCCCUUCUUCUUCCCAAGUGAAGGUAUAAUCUACUCUUCCUUUCUCUUUAAUGGCAUAAAGCCGCCUUCUCAACUCUUUCGGUCUUGUCGAAUUUAUUGGCGCCUUGUUAUAUUCCUACGAUACAAGUAGUUUAAUUCAGUAGUGUUAAGGCGUUUGAUUUAUUUGAAUUUUGGUAUCUCUCAGAUUGCAGUUCAUAAUCAUUGGAAAGACAUACAAUGCUCAAUUUCUUACUCAGUUUAAGAAAUGUUGUUGUUUGGUAUACGUCUUAAAUAGAUUGUGAUUCUUCUAUAAUUCAAUAAAUCUUGAUUUUUUUUCUUUUCACACGGCUGCGGGAGUAACUGGCAAUAGCCCGUUGAAGAUAUUAAUUUUGUGCGUAUUUCGGAUUCAUUCUUACUCUAGCUUGAAGUUGGGGUGCUCAUUUUAGUUUCUAGUGUUUCUAUGGUGAGGAAGUGGUAAAUUGCUUGCUCAAAUGAGACAUUGUUGCUCUCAUCUACUGAGACCUUUCCUCGAACUCGAUCUUAGUGAGUUACAUAAGCAACCCAAAGUAAGUUAGCAUCUUUUCUUCAAAAUGGCAAAGUGCCUGUGCUUUUCCAAUACAAGUUAGCAUCUUUUAUUCAAAAUGGCAAACUGCCUGUACUUUCCCCUUCCUCUCUCCCGUAGACCAACGAUCAGCUCUCUCUCGAAGUUGUUGAAGAAGUAUUAGAGAAGCUCAUGUAUUUCAUUUCACACCUCGCCUGAUCGUUUCCACUUUCCAUUCAGCUGUUCGUCUUUUAUUUCAACUUGGGAUCAUAAGACUGGUUGAGUUUUGCUAGUUUCUGUUCGUGAUUUAAACACCUAUCGUUAAUGACACCCUACAAUGGGGCCUCCCAAGGGGCGGUGGUUUUGACAGAAGAAACAAUAGACAUAGUAGGUCAGCAGGCAAGCAUCUUCUCUUGAUCGGAGCACUUUGGUUCUCUCCAUCACUUCUUCCGUUUUUCUUUUCUAGAUCAUCAGUUCAGUAUCAAAACUAAACCCAAACCAAAGGGAUUACUCCCUUGUCUAGAACCAGGAUGGAAAGUCUCUCUUUUUGGAAUAGAUAAAUUCAUUAAGUGCUUGUUGAUUAAUCGCAAAAGCUUGGAACUUCAUGGAUUUGGAGGAAUGUGCAGAAUCUUCUGUUCGAAGAUUGUGAUUUGUGAGUAAUGAGUAUGUUUUCUAUAAGAAAAAGAAAAGCGAGUGGAAAUCAACUUUGUUUUAACUUUUGUUCUCAAGAAAAGAAAAAAUUGCAUUUCUCUAGUUGUGUUUUUAUACAAAUGAAGGGAUAUGAAAGUGAAUUAUAAUUGUUUUUAGAUACUCUUUGUUUUUCUUUUUAUUUAUCGUUUCCUGCUUUCUUAUUUAUUAAAUUGUCUCAGGUGAAGAAGAAAAAGCAGAAGACCGCUGCAGUCUCUAAUUCAGGCGUAGAUCUGAAAUCCAUUAUCCAUAACCAUGCGUUGUUCUUUGAUAAGUUAGUGGAGCUUAUCCCGGUAAGGUUCUAUUUAUCUAGUGAUGAAAAAGGAAAACCUUGGUUUCAGGGCCUUAGCAAGAAAGAAAAGGCAAUGGCUAAGAAGGAAUCAAAGGAAAACCUUAAGAAAGCACGAAGAGAUCGUAUGGAUCCAGAAAAGUCUUCUAAAUCAACUGUUCAUUUGCUUAAAGAAAGCUUGGAAAAUGAAAAGUUGAAAAGUAAAAAUGACGAUGAUGGAGAUGAUGUUAAGCCAGUGGCAACUGGGUGGGACAGUGAUGACCAGUCAGUGACAUAUGAAGAACUGAGACAACGCCUUCAUCGAAAAAUUGAGGAGUUCCGGGUGAAUAGAAAUACAGGAUGUUCAAAUAGGGAAAAGAAGAGAAAUGAAAGAAACGAGAGAAGGGAAGCUAUCCAGAAGAAACGCAAGAGAGAAAAUGACUCUGACGAGAAGAAAUCAGUCACCAUGCCCUCAGAAAUUGAAAUGGAGAGGAAUGUAGUUGAGGCCUCCAAAGAACUUGCGUUUGGUCAUGUUAAACUGGGAACUGAAGAAGAGCAAGGUAAGAAUAAGAAAAAAAAACUCUCCAAGUUGAAGGAACUUGAAAAGGCAAAAAAGUUGGAAGAAGCAAAGAAAGACCCCGGAAAGGGCGAGAUAGUAUUGAAGAAGCAUUCUUGGCAAGCAGCAACAAGUAGAGCUGCUGGGUUUAAAGUUCAUGAUGAUCCACAGCGUCUGAUGAAGAGUUUACGGAAGGAAAAGAAACAACAGCUGAAGAGUGUCGAGAAAUGGAAAGGUAGAAUUGAAACCACCCAGAAGAUGAAAGCAGAAAGACAACAAAAGAGAUCUGAAAACAUAGCUCAGAAAAUCCAUGACAAGAAGAUGAAACGGAUUGAAAAGAGGGAGAAAAAGUUAAUGCGCCCUGGCUUCGAAGGUCGCAAGGAUGGUUUCAUUAAUGGAAGCAGCGCAUGAAGUGGAAAGAAGUGAGUGUAACCUUCGCAGUUUCUCCCCCAGUUUUGAGGUUUGAAUUUAAAUUGGUUAAUCUAUUCACACCCUUCAUAACUUCAUCUCAUGUAUGUUUAGGGAAGUUGUUUUAACAUCAAAGUAUGGAUUCAAAUUCAACAGUCAAAUCAGUUUUCUACCCUUGUUUGUUUUGACUAUAGUAAGCAAUUCAGCAGUUGCCCGACGAGAAGAAUUUAGUCCAUAAACUAAUCAGAUUCAUAACGUGAUACAAACGUUGAGAUCAAAUUAAUGCAAUCUGUUCAAGUUAUUCUUUACAAAUCAAAUGCUUCAUGUUGGUUGUCACCCAUGGUCUGAUGCAUUUAGCUCCAGAUGUUAAUUGUGUUUAAUGGCGAUUUGUAUUUUAUUAAUUACCAUGGCUUCUCUUCUCAUUUAAAGUAUUCAGUACAUUUGUCUUUUUGUUAUGACAAUAGCAGUUGGUUCAUUACAUUACUAGUUGUUUUCAUAUGUUUUGUUUAGUGGAUCGGCCCUUUUCACAUCUAAACACAAUGAAUUUGUCUAAGCAUAACAAAAAUAUGAAACCGCACAUCCUUGUUUCUAUGUGAAAGUUCCCAAUGGCUUAUUAAACAUUCCUACAUUGAUGGUUUUGAAAGAGAUCGACAGAACCACAAACUAUGUUAUACAUAAAAACAAAACAAGAAAAAAACAAACCCAACUGAUAUCAUACACAACCAUCCUUACUAAACCACCCUAGUUCCGGUUGUUCCUUUGGGAGGCUCGCCGGGAGCUGCUGUUCCUCCGCCCAUGCCAUAGUCGGUGUCCCAAUAACCAGGGCCAUAGCGGCGGCUGAAGAUUCCAGCAUGGAGCAAAAGCAGAUACAGAAGCUGAGUGAAAGUCAAGAUAAUUAUAAAAGCUUCCACCACUCUCAGCCUCCACCCUCUGUGGCCUCCUAUGUUGAUUUGCUUACAGGCCAACCUGUGGAGAGGGAAGAGUAACAAACCAAUGAUAUUGUUGUUGAAGGCUAUCACAGUCUAAAGAGGAGAAUAUUUUAUGGAGUCGAUUGAAAAUUACCCAAAAGCUAGAACAGUUACAGCCCAAGUGAGCAAGGAAGUUGAUCCUGCACCGGCGAGGCUGUCGCUCCUCCAUGCUCUGAUAUGGUAGAGUCCGGCCAGUUUUGAUGCUAUUCCAAGAACAGCCGUCAGCAUUGCAAAUGUCAGGAAAAACGGCGUCGCUCCGUUGCCUCCCAUACCUUGUGCAGUCCAAAACAAAACACCAUCAACAUCUCUUCUUUUAGUUUCAAGAUCGAUAUAUAAUCAAGUAAAGACACAAUCUCAAAGGUUCAGUCCGAUUCUUCACUGUCGAACUCAAAGAUAAAAUAUUUAGGACCAGUUUGGGAAACUGAGCAAUAUUUUUUUCCUCCUCAAAAUCACACAAUUACAGAACUGAUAAUAUAUGAUUUAGUUAUUUAAUCAAUUUUCUUUCCUUCGUCUAAUUUAAACUGUCAUAUAAAAUUUUCAAAUAAUAGGUUCAAAAGAUCAUUGAAAAUUUGGCUCAUAGUUUUGUUAAAUAUUUUUCAAAUUAUAAUAAGUUCAAUAGAUCCUUGAAAAUUUUGCUCAUAGUUCUGUUAAGGAAACAUGGUUUUUAGGAAAUUAUUCUAAAUAUUUAGAAUGUAAUAUAAAGGAAAAUUAUCUUUUAAAAAUAUUUAAGAAUAUAGCAAAACAUUACAAAAUAGAUACCAUCAUGAUAUUUGUGAAUUUUGGUAUAUUUGAAAAUAGUAAAAGAUUAAAAACACAAAAAGUACAUUAUUUUACGGAAGCAUUUGCAUUUAAAGUAAAAGCAAAAAAGAAUGAAAGCAUUUGCAUUUAAAGUAAAGGCAAAAAAAGAAUGGAAAGAAAAGUUACUUGGAUGGUAGGUAGUGCCAUUGAUGAAUCUAUUAAGACACCAACUAGCAAAACCCAAGAGAAUCAAAUACAUAAUCAAGUUAAGAAACAACAAUGGAGCUGCCAUGUUCCUUCCCAUUGUUUGAGCCAUCUUUUCUCUCUAACCACAACAAAAAACACUUUCAAAGAUGAAGAUGGAUAGAUAUUAUCACAAAUCCACAACAAAGAAAAGCAGAUAAGGCAAACCAAAGCGCUUUUAAUACAUUCCCUGUAACAACCAAAGUUUGUAUUUAAAUACACAUAUAUAGUAGAACCAAGCUUAGUCCCUUACAUACACGUGUGAACAAAAUGUCUUGCAUGCUUUCUCAUAGGUACACGUGUUGGGACACUUGUCAAUAACCUUCUCUUAUGUUGAUCAAACGGUGCAGGUUUCUGAUCCAGUAAGGUCUCAAUCAAAAAGUGCUUUUGUUUUGUGUUUCUUUGAUAUGGCCAACAGAAGAAUGAAUGAAGGAAUGUGAGAAUUAUGUCUGUUUCUAGCUGCUGCUUGUUUUAAUGGGAAUAAGUAUUAUGCAUUACUGUGGGAGCUGAGUUAUUUUUUUCUUUUUACCCAACAACAGAACUACUUGUAAGGUUUAUGAUUAGAAUUAUUUUUAUGUUGGGAAAGUGUAAUAAAAAUAUUCAUUCUACAACUACUAUCCUUUUUUUGUCAUGAAGGUUUUUUAAGGAUUAGAAACAAAAUGCUCAAUUUAUGAUUGGUCCUCAGUAUUUAACACUUUCCAAUUUCAACCAAUGUGCUAACCGUGAUGAUAUUGGAUAUUACAAAAUGGUAUUAGUGGAUAAUUUAUUUAGUUGGUAACAAAUAUAUCCUCUUUAGUUCUUGCACUCAGAUUCAUUGUUCUAGAAAACAAUUUAUUUGAUCCUACAAUACUGAAUUUGAGAAUUCAAUUCAUUCUCUAAAAUUAAGAUUUUUAUUAAAUAGUAAACCAAUUCAUUAUAGUUUGAAUAUCCAUCCCUAAUUCAAUGUCUCUAACAUGAUUGAUCCCUCUUUAGAUUUUAAAAGUUUGAUAUUUUUGUAAUAUUUGUGAUACCGUUUGAAGUAUAGUAAUAAUGUGACAGGUAAAACAUUAUAGAUAUUGUCAUUGGUUGUCCAUAAACAUUUUGUUGUAUUAGUUUAAUAUAUAUAUAGAAUAAUCUUUGAGCUUCUGAAUCACUCAAACUCUGUUUCUGUAAAAGAGCAGUCAGAUAUAAAAAGAAGAGGUAUGAUGCUUUUGACUUUAGAAUCAACAUAGACAAGUUUGUCUUACAAGGCACAAGGAAAGUUCAUACAGAUUUAGAAGUUGUGUUUUCGAAGCUGAGAAGGAGAAUUCAGUGUCCCGUUUUUCUCUAUUUCACGCAGCCUUGCUCUUUCCAUCUUCCUUUUGCGCCAUUCCUCCAGAGCUUUGUCACAAACCAUUCACACUUAUAUUAGAUGAGAUACAAGAUGGUGGUUCCGGCUAAACAAGUCGAUUCAACUUGCUUUUUUUUUGUUAGAAUCAGCAUCAAACUAAUAAUUGGCCUUAAGGGAAAAUAUAACCAAAGUUGAAAUGUUUAUAGGUUUUAACCUUUCACUUUUGAGUCUAGUACCAAUUUUGAAAAUUCUUUAAAAACUAAUUGGUACUUGAUAUAAAUCUCAAAUGUGUAUCUAGUAGAUCCACAAAAUUUUUAAAAUCCGAAAAAUUAGAGAGAUUUAACUUGAAAAUUCAAGUUUCGGAAUCAAGUUGGCAAAAAUCUCAAAGUCUAGGAACCUGAAGACAAACCAAAAGAAUUCAGUUGUUUUGAUUUACGGCUGGCAUAAAGGAGGAUGGGCUGGGAGGGAGAAGGUCUCAGAGCAGAAAUAUUGUACCUUUUAAACUAGAAGCAUCAUUGAGAGAACGGAAGUCUUUCAAUCUUUUAGAAAGAUCCAUUGCAGCAUUCUGCUUGGAGUCUUUGUCUUGUACAGCUUCUGUUUCAUAAUAUGCUUCCUCCUGAAUUUCCCUUACCUGAAGAAUUAUGAAGAUUUAAACUCCAAUGCAAAAGAAAAUUCCAAAUGUGCAUUGGCACCAGGGUGCAAACUAAAAAGGAGGGAUAAACAUAGUUCGAGUAAAUUCAAGUAACUAAGUCUAAAUAGUCUAGUCUUCAGUCGUUUGUUGUUUCUUUCUCCUUCCUUUUACUCAAGAGGUCAAACCAUGAGUAACUCUAUGGUAAUUGGCAUUUGCAUAGAACUUUUUCCUACAAAUUAGAGGUUCGAUCUCUCUCCCCACUGUUGUUUGUACUCAAAUAAAAUAAAAUAAAAUAAAUGAAUAAAAAGUCUUGAACUCGAGAGGCUUCGUUUUCAUUUUCUUGGAAUUAUCUUGUUGAAUUGACAAUUUACUCAUGAAACCUAAGUCUUAUGUUUUGAUGGGUUAUAGGGUAUGCUUGAUGAAGUGCUUACCCUUUUAAUCAGCUCCAAAGGUUGCAUAGAAAGUCGAAUCUCUUGAGCUUCCUUGAUAUAUUUGAGUUGAUCUGCAGUGCCAAUUUUCAGACGUUAUCUAAUUUAGCAAUCUAAUUGAGUUACACAACCACCAGAAACAGGAAAAUUAACAGCAAAAAUUAGAGAGCAUAAUCAAAGUAGAACAGAACACCAAAUUCAGACCACAAUUUGUUCACACAGCAAAGUUCAGAUAAUAAGUCAGAUUAGACAAAAAGUAUUCCCUUUACGCUUAGUAAUGUUUCAAAUAUCAAAAUAUUAAACUAGAUAAUGUCUGAAGCACUAUAUAAAUUCAUUACUAGCUCAAGGGUGAUAACAAACAAUCAGGGCAAAAAACUAUGCUCGUUCUUUCCUUCAAGCUCUACUGGGAAGGAACAGGCAGGGCUGCAGAAUUGCUUAAACUAAAAUGAUUUUUCUUUUAUGAAAUUGUUGUCUUGCAUUACCAGGUCAAGAGUGAUAAUAACAAUCGGGGCAAAAUAUACAGAGGACAAAGCAACACAUAGAACUGUGUUAUCGAAAUGGGCUGAACGUUGCAGGAUCAUUAUUUAUCCAACGUAUUAGCAAGCUCUAAUAGAAACACUUCCUAAAGAACAUAUCGAUCCAAAUUAUAUGCUAAGAGAAUUACCCAACAUUUGAGCAAGUUUACUGACUACAGCCAGCUUUUAGAUUCUCCAAGAAUAUGUGACGAAUGAAAAUUGAUCCAAUUAUACAGAUAACAAUGUCGCUAUGGCAUCACAUCACAUAAUGCCAAGUUAUAAAGUUUGAUGUGAAAUGUCAAAACAUAACAAUGACAAGCAAAGUUUGAAAGCAAGCUUUCGCACAUGGCAAGAUAAUGGUCGACCAUGAGCCUAAACUUGUCCCUUUUAAGAACCUCAAUUGAUUGCUUAAAGCAUGAAAGAGGUAAUCCUAUUUCAGUUCCAAACUUCUGUUUUGAAGGGGGGUCAAAGUUUUAGAUCAUUGUCUCCCUCUCACCUUUGAGUAAGGUUUUAAUCAGUUUGGAAGCUUACAAGUAUCGGACUUACUAUGUUCCCCACUUUCAAUCUCUCUUCUUUUGUGAAGGGAGAUAUUAGGCGCUACCACAAUCUUCUGAAGUUUCCACCCGUUAUCUCAACUCAAGUAAUGAAAGGUCAUACAAUAAUAGGACUCUCGAAAUUUGGAGAACACAUAGAUAUAAUGUUCCAUUCCAAUAACAGCCGAUUUUAUAACAGAAGAAACGGAAGUAAAAACUGAAAAUUUGAUGUUACAAUUGUGCUUUCCCAAAUUAGAUCACCUUCACUCAACUCCUACACGAAAUCUCUGCCAGAAAAUUUAAUCCAAAAAUGCAAGAUUUAAGAAUAAAAAAUUAUAGGUACAAAUGACACCUGACAGAGUAGGGAUUUCCAGGAAAGCCAAACAUGCAAAUAACAGAGGAUGCAAACAAGUCUUGGACACCAAAGUUCUUUUUUCUUUCUUUUCAUUCCCUUGGGAGUUUGUUCCAUAAACACUUCCUUUUCAUUUUAUCAAGGAAAGUUGUUUCUUGUUCCCAAAUAACAGAGGUUGCCAGCAAAUCUUAUAACCCAAUUCUGGACUAAUAUAAUCAAAACAACAAUUGCUGUUGCUAGCAGAAAAUUUCAGGUGCUUAUGAUAUUUGAGAGAGUCUGAACUUCCAGGAUAUCCAAAAUUACAAUAAUGAGAUAUCCAUUCCAUCUCAGCUACAGAUUUUUACCGAUUUACAAUGACAACUAGGGGAGAUCAAACUUCACAGUGCUAAUUUGAUCACAACAGAAGAAUGUAAAUGUUGGGAACUUAAAAGAAGACAAGUUUCAUUAUCUUGUUCAAGUCUACAACUGCCUUAGAUUCUGACUAACUGGAUUGAAGGAUUACAUUUCAAGUCCUCAAAGAUGCAAUUUCUUGUUUCCUGGUGGUACAUAUAUAACACCUUAAUCCUCAACUUAUCAAUCGCCGACAAGCAAUAUCCAAUUCAAACAACUACGUUAUCAUCUCAUGGAAUCAAAACUCAAAGCCAAGGAAAAAUCUCACCUAACUUCAUCAAAUCCCCAACAAAUAUUUCGAUUACUGCACAUGGAAUUUAUAAAAGAAAUUGGGAAAAGUAAAGAGGAGGAGAUAAGACAAACCCAGUUUGUGAUUUGUCGACAAGGGUCUGUUCCGUGAAGAAGCAACAGAUAAAAAACCCUGAAGCAGAAGAAAAGCAGCCACUAGGUUCAACAAGCACAAAGCUAUGGUGGCAUUCCUAAACGAGAACCUCAAUCUCCAUGACUGUUGGACCUCCAUUUUUUCUAUAGGUACUAUCAAUGGGUAUUCCCUUUACUUUCUCAAAUACCAUUCAACUGUUUACAUCGAAGCCGCAGAAAUUAGAAGCAACACCAGAGAAAUCUGCAGGUGAUGAUUUUGAAGAAAUGAAGGAAAUCAGUUUGGGGGUAAUUGAGAAAAAUGGGAAGAGAUUCGUAUAAAAACUCUCUCUCUCUGAAAUUGGUAGUGAAAACGAGAGAAAUUCUUCAAUUCAGUUCAACUGCUUCUCCUCUCUGUUCUUCCCUUCAUCUUUGGUUCCUUCCUAUUCUUUUUAUGUAUUAAAUAAUGUCUUAAUUACUUUGAUUAAACAUUGAUGAAAAGUGACAGCUACUUUGAUUUUACCAUGGCAACUACAACUACUCUCGGAUGGGGUCAGGUGAUUUGGGUUACUAUAGUCUAUGUUAAUAAUAGUUCGUCAAUUAGUACUUUAUUAUGCUAUGUAUUAUUAUAAGUGAGGUUUGGAUGUCGAUUAUUAUAUUUUGAGUUAUUAUAAUCCGUGCUUGGAGGUGCAUACUAUAAUUUAGGUUCAUUUUUCUAUUUUUUAAAUAUUUUUUUUGUACAUAUUAGAGGUGUUCGUGGUUCGGCUUAAAGCUAAAACCACAAAAUGAAAAAAAAAAAAUCUCAUUUGAAAGCAAACUGAACCGCUCAUCUAUGUCAAACCGAAUGAAAACCGAACCACUUGUACAUAAAUAAAACUGAAUCAAAACCGAACCACUUGUACAUAAAUAAAACUGAAUCAAAACCAAAUGGGUGCCAAAUAAUAAACCAGCAAUCAAAAUAGCCAAAUGAAUGUCAAAUAAUUAACUCAAGAUGCCAAAAAUUAAUUAAUUAAUAGGUCAAAUGGAAAAUAGGUAUUGCCAAAUAGAGGAUGAUAGUUAAUUAAUCAUGGAUAAUUAUUGAGACAGAAAAUGGGUGUAAGUAAUUUACACAGAAUGAAUGUGAGAUGGUUGCUAAAUAAUUAAAAGGAUACAAAUAAUUAAACUAUGUCAAAGCCAAAUGAUUGUCAAAUGGGUGCCAAAUGAUUAACCUAACAACUAAUUAAUUAGUGAUUUAAAUGAAUAAUUAAGACAUCACCCAAAUGGGUGCCAAAUAAUUAAUCCACUAUCAUCAAUCAUGAACAAAAAAAGAACUUACCAACACGUCUGCCUUUAAAUGCAAAAGGUUUUUUCUUGAUCCUCUUCACCUCUUCCCAAAUCACAGAUAAAAAAAAAAAUGUUUUACGUGUCCUCCUCUAUCAAAUCCUCCGAAAAAAUCUUCUCCCCCCAAUUGAAUUUCUUUUUUCUCUAUAGGGCUAGGUCUUAUUUUUUUUUAUAGUGAAAUGAAGUAGUUUUAGAUAGUGGAGUGGAGUGUAGCAGAGAAAGGGGAAAAAGGUGGGAGAGUGGGAGAGUGGGAGCGUGGAAAACAGAGCGUGGUGACGAAGAAAAACGAAAAUAGUGGAAUGGUUGAGAAAAAUAGAGAGGAGAAGAACUUUUAUUUUUAAUUUUAAUUUUAAAUAUGUUUUUUGUUUUUAUUUUUGUUUUAAAACAUAAAUUUAAAAUUUAAGAAUUAAUAAUUAAGAUUUAAAAUUUAAAAUUUAAAUUCAAACUCAAUUUUUUUAAAAAAAAUAAUAAAAAUAAUAAAAAAUACAUGACAAAAUAUGGUAUCUACCGUUUGCCCCCAUUGUCCAUCAUGAAAAUAUUUAAAUGUGGACAAAGGAAAUAGAUAAGGUAUUUGGGCCAAUUUUUUUUAUCUUUUGAGAGAAAAGAAAAAUAUCAACCUUAGCUCUAUGACUAGGUUUGAUAAAUGAGAGAAAGGACCUGAUGGACAGGUUUCAACCUCAACUUCAGAUAUGGACUCGAUUUAACCAAAUCUGAUAGACAUGCUUCGACCUCAGCCAAAAUUUCAUAAAUGAGAAAUAUUUGGCUCCUGACCAUAAGCUAAUUGUACUGGGGAGUACUUAUGAUAAGAUGUCGGUCUUAUGCAUAUAAGUGAUGCUGCAUGCAGAAUAACAUGACCCCAUACAGAUAAUGGAAGCUUUGCUCUUAUAAAUAAUGGUAUGACAAUCAAUUGUAAACGCUUGAUAAAUGAUUGUGUCAAACCAUUUUGUGUCUGAACAUGCAUGAGUUACAGGAUGUUUCAAUAUUUAUCCCAAUUGACAUGCAAUAAUUAUUAAAUGCUUGGGAUGUAAACUCACCAGCAUUAUAAAUCGAAUGUUUUUAUUGUAUAAUAAAAAAAUUGUGCUCUUAAUUUGAUUAUUUGAGCAAGUAAUCUUGCAAACGCAAGGUUUCGACUUGAUAAUAAACACAUAUGUGACAAUCUACUGGAUGCGUCAAUUAAAACCAUGAAGUAUCUAAAUGGUCCACUUGGUGGAUUAAUGGGUCCACAUAUGUUACCAUGAAUUCAUUCUAAAAAUGUAGGUGACUCAACUCCCACUUGGUUGGUGAUGACCUAAUAAUCAAUUUUCCUUGAGAGCAAGCAACACACGAUAAUUCAUUACAUUAAAGAAUCUUCUAGUUCUUCAAUAGAUGCCCAUGAGAAUUUUCAAUAAUUCUUCUCGUCAUUAUUGAUCCCGGAUGACACAAUCGAUCAUGCCAAACAGUAAACAUAUCUAAAUUUAUGAACUUCGGGCUCAUGGUUGCAUAUGUUUAAUUACUCGUAUAUGAGUAUAAUAUAAUCCAGAAAAAAAGCCGGCAGUGUUUCCAAUAUACGUUUUUUCUGUGAAACAAUAAAUGUAAUAUAAAUAUAUUUUAUAUUAUUUUUAUUGUUAGUUUCAACAUGAUAACCAUUUUUACGUAUAUCUUUGAAACUCAAUAAGUUUCUUUUUUACUUACUAGAGAACAAAGCAUUAUUAAUUGUGAAUUUUGUUCCUCUAGGCAAAAUAAGGUUUGCUUUACCAAAACCUUCAAUCGAAUUUGUAGAAUCUGAUAUUGUAUUGACAUUUGCUUCAAGAAUUGUCAAUGUAGAAAAAUACUUUUUAUUUUUAAGUAUUGUGUGCAUAGUUGCACUAUAUGCCAAACAUAAGUCUUCAUUAUUCAAAUUUGAGUCAGCCAAAAUAUGAGAAAUGUCCAUAACGCUUCAUAAAAAAGAAAUUAUAAUAAGUCUCAUGGUAAAAAAAAAAAUCUAACGUUGAAAUAUAAAUAAUUUAUAUAAAUUGAAAAAUGUUGAAUAGAGAAAACACCAAAAUAUAAUGUAAAUAUCAAUUUUGGACAUUAUCAUAAUUAAAGGAAGUAUUUUCCACUCCUUCAUUAACAUCAGUUUUCUGUUCAGGAGACUAAAAAAACCAGCAACAUCGAAAUGUGUCAUAUUCGAAGGGUCAUAGACAUCAUCUUGAUAGGCAAAGUUUACUUCCACGUUCUUCCAUUUUUCCUUUAAUGAAGCUUAAUAGAGGUCGACUAAGUGCUUGGACGUACGACAAGUACGAGUCCAAUGACCAUUCAUACCACAACGAAAGCAUUGAUUUUCACCACUUUUUAAUUUCUUAUUUUGUGGAGUUUUUCCUCUAUGAACAUCAUUUGUGGUUUUCUUGAAAUCUAAAUAAUUAUUACCACGGAAAGUAUAAUUACUUCUUCCUUUACCACGGUCACGACCUUGACCUCAACCACGACCUCGACUAUUAUUGUUUGAAGAUACAACAUUCCCUUCAGGGAAUGAUGUUGUUCCAAUUGGUCGAGAGUCAUGGUUUUUCAUUAAUAACUCAUUAUUUUGUUCAGCCACAAGAAGACAUGAUAUGAGUUCAGAAUAUUUUUUAAACCUUCUUUCUCGAUAUUGUUGUUGUAGGAGCAUAUUCGAGACAUGAAAUAUGGAAAAUAUUGUCUCUAACAUAUCUUCAUCAGAAAUUUUUUCUCCUUGUAACAAUAAUUUUGAACAAAUCUUAAAUAAUGCGGAAUUAUAAUCACUUAUUGAUUUAAAAUCUGCAACCUUAAGUGCAUCCAAUCAUAUUGAGCUUUAGAAAUAAUCACACUUUUUUUUUAUGAUCAUACAUUUCUUUUAAACUUUGCCAUAAUUUAUUGGGAUCUUUUACUGUAAGAUAUUCAAUUUUUAGUCCCUCAUGAAAAUGAUGUUGAAGGAAAAUCAUGACUUUUGUCUUUUCUUGACUUGAAGUCGUGUUUCCUUCUUUAAUUGUUUCUCCAAGAUUCAUGGCAUCCAAAUGAAUUUCAGCAUCAAGCACCCAUGAGAAAUAAUUAUACCAUUGAUAUCAAGAGCUAGAAAUUCUAAUUUGGUAAAACUAUAACAAAUAAAUUUAUUUAUAUUAGAAAUUUAAUAAACAUGUUAAACAUGCAUUAUAAAACAACUUAGAUAAAUAUCAUAUUAUGGAAAAUUGUGACAACAUACUUAUACAUAAUAUAUUAAAACAACAUGGUAAAUUGAUAAAAACAUUUAGAUAAUAAAAAUACUUACAAAACUUAUACUAAUUGAAAGUAGAUAUUUAAACUAUAGACACAAACCAUUAAGAACCCAUAAACUAUACAUAGAUCUUAAAAUAAUUGAAAUAAGAAUCAAACAUAAACAAUCACAUAAAUCAUAAAUAAAUAAGAUGAAUCAAUCAACAAUCUUAUUAUGAACUAACAAUAUUUUAACAAACAAUAAUUUUGUAAACAUAAUAUGUAAAAUUACAACAUGCAAUAGGUUCAAAAGAUUACCUUCUCAAACAUUUAAACUAUGCAUAAAGUUUAUAUGAAAUAGUUCAUGCAAUGUUCACAAGUACAAAACAAGAAAACAAACUAAUACUUUAUAGCCUACCUUUUGCAAAUGAUAAAAUUGUAGAGACUCGUGCUGAUAAUGUGUUAUAAAACAAGAACAAAGAAGCUAAAUAAGGAUAAUGAAGCAACCAAAGAGAAUAAGUAGGGAAUGGAGGAAGUAGAAAACAAUUGUACUCAAGUGUGGUGUGUCUUACAAAGGAACCACAUACCUCUAUUUAUAGGACAUGUCAUGGUAUGGGUUACACUAUGAAAUUCAAUGGGAUGAAAGUUACAUGAAAUAAAGUGAGAGUUAUAGGAAUAUUGGUAACUCUUUAUUGAAUCUGUUAUAGCAAACAAGGGCUAGUGGGUUUGUUUCCUCUUCCUCGGCCACGUCCACGACUAUUGAAGUUGUUUCCAUCUCCACGUCCAUUUGGGUUCAUACGACUAUUGAAGUUGUUUCCAUCUCCACGUCCAUUUGGGUUCGAAUGAUUUCCACCAUAUUGAUACGAGGAAUGAUUUCCACCAUAUUGAUAGGAGUUCUUAUUCUGCCGAUUGUCACCCCCUCUAUUGCGAAUUCCACCAUAUUGAUAGGAGUUCUUAUUCUGCCGAUUGUCACCCCCUCUAUUGCGAAUUCCACCAUAUUGAUAGGAGUUCUUAUUCUGCCGAUUGUCACCCCCUCUAUUGCGAACCAUAUUAACAGCAUGAUUAGAAAUAUCUUUCGUUGAGAGUUAUGAUGUUCAAGGCGCUCUGAUUGCAUAUCCAACCAAGAUAAUAUAUGUGACUGGAUUAUAUAUCUCAUCUAGCCCCAAUAACACCGGGCUCCUUCCCACUAGGUUGAUAGUCUUUUGGGAUGCCGAGCCGAAAGAUUCAUUGAUUGUUUUGAAAUGAGUCAUUGAUUCAAGGGAGAGUUGCUAAAAUUUGGAAUUGUUGAUGAUUGACUAUUUUCUCUUUGCUCUGAUACUAAGAUAAAUUUGAUAGUAUGGGGUUCCAUCUCAAAACCAAUUGGCAAUGUGAGGAGUAGUCCGUCUAUCCUAUAUGGAGUAUGAGUCCCCUUGGUUUUUUCCAAUGUAGGACUCUUAAUAUCUCCAAUACGCAAAAUUUGUUAUUUACGAACCUUGACUAACGAAUUAUUACUCCUGAGCAACCUGAAAUGAUCAUGAAAAAAAGAAAGAUUAGCCACCAACUUCUAAAAUAAAAGAGAACAAUGACAUUAGAAAGUAGAAGGAGGGAAGACAUACCAAUAUUGUUUAGUCGGAAGUCUACUCGUACAUUACAAGAAAAGUAAGAUAACAUUAAAUAGAAGGUUAAAAGGAAAAACAAAACAAAAAAGCCCAC
rnacentral:lncRNA from 1 species